rnacentral:lncRNA from 1 species
GUACGGGUGGUUUUGGCUUCCACCCAUUUAGAGACAUAAUCAACUGCAAGUAAAAUGUAUAGGAAACCAAAAGAUGAGAGAAAAGUACUCAUAAAAUCUAUCCCCCAAACAUAAAAAAUUUCAACAAAUAACAUGGGGGCUUGAAGCAUUUGAUCCUUACGAAAAAUAUUUUUCACCCUUUGACACCUAUCACAGAAUUUGCAAAAUAAGUACGAAUCUUUAAAAAGGGUGGGCUAGUAAAAAUCACUCUCUAACACUUUGCGAGCUAUUCGCUUGAGUCCAAAAUGCCCUCCACAAGCAAACGAAUGACAGAAAUUUAAAAUAGAGUGAAAUUCACCUGUACUUACACACUUUCUUAGCACUUGAUCCGAACAUUGUCUCCAAAGGUAGGGGUCGUCCCAAAUGUAGUAUUUGGCAUCACUCUUCAAUUUAUCUCUCCUAACAUUUGGCCACCCUGCAGGCAAUUGAUUAGUCACUAAAAAAUUUACUAUAUCGGCGUACCAGGGUGUAGACGAAUCAACGGCAAGAAGUUGCUCCUCUGGGAAUGUCUCCCUCAAUGGUUGUUCUUCCUUAUGUGUCAGCAAACGGCUCAAAUGAUUGGCAACCAAAUUCUCUACCCCACUUUUAUCUUUUAUCUCCAAGUUGAACUCUUGCAGGAGUAGGAUCCAUCUGAUAAGUCUCGAUUUUGCAUCCUUCUUUGUCAUCAAAUAUCUCAAGACUGCAUGAUCAGAGAAAAUUGUUACUUUUGCACCUAACAAAUAAGGUCUAAAUUUUUCUAAUGCAAAAACCACAGUUAGUAAUUCUUUCUCUGUUGUAGAAUAGUUGAGUUGACCUCCAUUCAACGCAUUUGAUGCAUAAUAGACUGCAUGAGCCGCCCUGCCAAUUCUUUGCCCCAACACAGCUCCCACUGCGUAGUCACUCGCGUCACACAUAAUUUCAAAUGGGAGGCUCCAGUCUGGAGGUUGAAUGACGGGCGGUGAUGUUAACGACUCCUUCAAUUUGUCAAAUGCCAUCUUGCACUCCUCGGUGAAGUCAAAUGUUACAUCCUUCUACAACAGUUUGAACAGGGGCACUCUAAUUUUGGAGAAAUCUUUGAUGAAUCUCCUGUAGAACCCUGCAUGACCAAAAAAGGAGCGUACUUUUCGUACACUUACGGGGUAAGGUAAAGCAGAAAUAAUAUCGACUUUUGCUUCAUCUAUUUCUAUUCUCCUAGUCGACACUACAUGCCCUAAGACAAUACCAUACUCCACCAUAAAAUGAUAUUUUUUUCAAUUAAGUACCAAAUUUGUUUCUAUGCAUCUUUUUAAAAUCAAAUCUAAGUUAUCAAGGCAUUCAUCAAAACUAUCCCCAUACACACUAAAAUCAUCCAUAAAUACCUCAGUAAUCUUUUCUACAUACUCAUAAAAUAUACUUACCAUAUACCUCUGAAAAGUCGCCGGAGCAUUGCAAAGGUCGAAAGGCAUCCUCCGAUAGGCAAACGCGCCAAAUGGGCAGGUGAAUGUAGUUUUCUCCUGGUCCUUCGGUACUAUCGCGAUCUGGAAAUAAUCCGAAAAAUCAUCAAAAAACAGUAAUAGACACGACCAGCUAACAUUUCUAUCAUCUGAUCAAUAAAUGGGAGAGGAAAGUGGUCCUUCUUUGUCACAGCAUUCAGACUCCGGUAAUCAAUGCACUGACGCCAUCCUGUGGGUUUCCUCACUGGGACUAUCUCGCCCUCCUGGUUCUCUUUUACGGUUACUUCUGCCUUUUUCGGGACUAUUUGGACUGGGCUCACCUACGGACUGUCUGAGAUGGCGAAAAUGAUCCCCACUUCCAAGAGUUUAAAUAUUUCCUUCUUUAUCACUUCCAUCAUUAGUGGGUUCAAUCUCCGUUGCGCAUGUCUUACCUAUUUUCCAUCAUCUUCAAGCUGGAUCUGAUGCAUGCAUAAGGAGGGCUAACUCCCUUGAUAUCUGUUAUGUUCCACCCAAUCGCCUCCUUAUGAUUUCGAAGAAGACGAAUCAGGUUGUCUUCUUGUCUUGGUGACAGAUGUGCAGAUAUGAUGACCGGCAGUGUCUCUUUGUCCCCGAGAAAAGCAUACUUCAAAUGCUUUGGGAGAGGCUUGAGCUCCAAUUCAGGUGCGUGCACAAUAGAAUGCAACAAUUUCGCCAGAAUUUCUGGUACAAAAAGAGAAGUAAGCUCAUAUCUUGGAGAAAUUGGUGGAAGCGAAUGCAGUGCUUCAACUGCACGAUAUAACUCAUCACUUAAUCCUGCAUCAGGAGUUGCUCCCAACUCGAGAUACUUGGCUAAUGCCACUGCCAGUGCAUCGUCCCCAUCCAAUUCAAACGUUUUCUGCACAAGGGGCUCAAUAACACUUAAAACAAAAAUGGAGUUAGCCUCAUCCAGGUACUUCAUUGCAUCAAAAAUAUUAAAAUUUACAAUUUCUCCAUCAAACUCCAUUGAUAAGGUACCCUCAUUUACAUCUAUUUUCGUCCUAGUAGUGCUUAAAAUGGCCUACCUAACAAAAUAGGUGACAGAUGUAGUGCCCUUUCAUCCCCCAUGUCUAGGACAUAGAAAUCUGCAGGAAAAACUAACUCAUUGACCUGUACCAAAAUAUUUUCAACUAACCCUUCUGGAUAAGCAUUGGUACGGUCUGCAAGUUGGAUUAUAAUGCCUGUGCCUUUUAGUGGGCCAAGAUUAAGAGAAGCAUAAAUUGUUUUAGGCAUAACAUUAAUUGAUACCCUCAAAUCCAACAUCGUUUUCCUAAUUGGGGUACCUCCUAUCUUGCAGGGAAUGGUGAAUAUACCUAGGUCUCCACAUUUUGGUAGGAGUUUCCUUUGAAGCAUAGCUGAUACAUUUUCUCCCACCGCCACUCUUUCGUCACCCUUCAACUUCCUCUUGUGGGUGCACAAAUCCUUCAAAAACUUGGCAUACUUAGAUAUCUGCUUGAUUGCAUCCAGUAAGGGAAUGUUAAUCCCCAUUUUUUGGAACACAUCCAAAAGCUCUUUUUUCUUCUCUACUUUCUUUGUCUUCUCUAACCUGCAAGGAAAGGGGGGGUAAGUUAGAUUUAAUAGUGGGUGGAGAAGUGAAGGUUACCUUAUGAUCCUUGCGAAUACGUCAUUCCUCUUCAAUUUUCUUUUCUAUCUCCUUCUCACUUUUGCUUUUUGAAUUUUCCACUUUAGCCCCUUCCAGUUCCUUGCCACUCCUUCAGUGUCAUGACACUUACAUUUUUGGGAUUUAUCUCGGGUUGAGAUGGUAAUUUUUCAUGGACGUGGGACUGCAGGCGAUUGAUGGCAGUUCCCAAUUGGCUUAUUCGAGUAUCCAUAUCUUUCAUGUCUGCUCUGGUGUCCUGCUGGAACUGAGUGGUACUCAUGGUUAAGGCUCUAGUUUCUUGCUGGAGUUGGGCCAUAUUCGUGGUCAAUGACCUGGUCUCCUGCUGGAGCUGAGUAGUAGUCAUGGCCAGACUCUUGACAAUAUCCUCCAGAGAGCUACCUGAAUUGGCGGACGAAGGUUGAGGCUUUUGCUGCCAUGGUUGCUGAAACCCUGGUGGACGAUUUGAAAGUGAAUUUGGUUGCCUGUUCCCAUAACUAAGGUUGGGUGGUCCCUCCAACUCGGAUUGUAUGUAUUGGAGUACGAGUUAUACUGCCUGCGUGGCGCGAGCACGCUUCCUACCAUGUUUACCUGUUUCGCCCCGUUCUCUUGUAAAAAGGGGCACGUGUCCGUGCAGUGGUCCAUACUAGUGCAGAUUUCACACACCUUCACUCGUGGUGUGUUCCCCAUGGCUAAUUGCCUAACAGCGGACGUCAACUCUGACAAUUGUUGCUGAAUGGAUGACGUCUCUAUCUCAUUGACCCUACGAGUGGGGUUAAUCUCACGGUAGUCAAACUACUGAGAGUUCUCUGCCAUGACUUCAAUAAGCUCCCACGCCUCCUUCGAUGCCUUGUUCGUCAAGGUUCCUUCACUCGCAGCAUCAAUGAUACUCCUGUCAGUUGACUGGAGCCCUUCAUAGAAGUACUGGAUCAAUAGUUGCUCACUAAUUUGAUGUUGCAGACAUCUAGUGCAUAACUUGUUAAACCUUUCCCAAUAGUCGUAUAAGGACUCCCCGGAGUACUGCUUGAAGCUGCAUAUUUCCUUUCUCAAACUCGCAACCCGGGAUACGGGGAAGAAUUUUUCUAGAAAUUUCUUUUUCAAUUGUGCCCACGUGGUGAUACUACCAGCAGGGAGAUGGUAUAGCCAAUCCUUCGCUGCAUCCUUGAGAGAAAAGGGGAAAGUUCUAAGUCUUAUUUGCUCCUCAGUGACCCCAAGAGGUUUCAUAUUAGAGCAAACUAUCUCGAACUCCUUGACAUGUUUGUGGGGUUUUUCACCAGAAAGACCAUGGAACGAAUGUAGGAGGUGAAUCAACCCCGACUUCAGCUCGAAAGCGGUAUUCUCAGCCAAAGUGGGGAAUGUGAUGCACAAGGGCUGGUGAGUCAACUCCGGGGCAGCCAACUUCCUUAGUGAUUGGGUGUUGGCCAUGCUAAAUUCGUCUUCUGCUGGCUCGUUUGCAGUAGAUAAGUGCCCUUCUUUUCGUCUCUUGAUCUCUUGCCUUCGCCCACGCGCUGCCUUCUUAACCUCAGGAUCGUAUACCAAUUCACCUGUGCGAGAAGAAUGGGGCAUAAACUAGCAAAAAUAUCAAGAAGAAAAAGAAAAAAAACUGAACUCAAAAAGAAAUAAAUAUUUCAAAUGACAGUCCCCGACAACGGCGCCAAAAAUUGACAGGUGCCGAACCUGUGCAAUAAUAAUAAAUAAAAUCUAAGUACCACCUAAAGCAGUCAAUAAUCAAUUCUAGUACUGAAGCAGGGACUCUAGGUGUGCAAUGGGUUACUUGAUUCACCCUGUUCCUGAAGAGUUUGCUUAAUCCAAUAUACAUGAAUUAAUUAUUUAACUGAACUCACAAACAAAUAGACAGUGGUAAGCAUGGUCGUCUCCUCAGGGACUGGAGAAAAAUUUAUUUCUUACCAAGUCAAGAUUAAUGGGAGGUUUUGAGAUUAAAUGCUAAUUAAACAAAUUAAAUGCAGAAAAUAAUUAAAUAAAAGAAAUAAUUAAGAGAAACUCUAGCCAAGGGUAUACUUCAGAAAUGGUUCGUACACUGAUCAUCGAUUCACAGAUAAUUCCAACAUUUAGUAAUAGAUUAGUUAUAGUUGUCAUGCACGCGAUAAACAACCAACCCUUCCUUAAUUUCUCGAUAGCCAAGGUACGACCGUUAGCUAUUUUUUUAACUCAUAAACAACCCUAGAUACGACCGUAGAAUUAAAUUUUUAGAUUGCAUUAAUAAUUAGAAAGGUCCAAUCCUAACCAACAAACACGCUACGAGAGUUCGUUUAAGUUAGAUCAUAUGCUCCCCUGACAUAAAUCUGAUUACGCCAGUUGCUACUAAGAUAGAGAUAACGAACAAUUACGGAUUCAAUUACCCCUAUUUAGCAAAAAUAGCCUAUAUGGAUAAUUAAUUAUUGCGCACUAAUCAAUCAUACACAAGUUCAUAGCAAUUAAAAGUAAGGAACAUAUAAAUAUCAAUAAAUGAAGAAAAUAAUUAAAAGCAGCUUAUAUCUCACAGUAGUUGUUGAACCAAUUCGUCAAUUGCCCCCUUGAUUAGAAUUAGGGAUUUAGUUCCCCAUAAUUAAUGUACAGGCCAUGCGGACAAGGUUGGAAGAAGCCAUCGAUUCCUUAAUCAAAGCGAACGAAAGAAAUUGCCCCUCGUUAAUUCCGGUCAACCGAAGAAAGAAAGGGGACAAUCGAUUAUGGUGGUUUUCAAUUGUUCUCCUAAGCUAACCGUAUAGAGAGUGCACACUUUCAAUUUUCUUCAGUCAAGGCCAGGGUGAAAAGCAAUGUCAAAAGUCCACAGUUGCAGCUCCUCUUAGCUUUCUUUCUUUCCUCACAAGACAUACGAGAGAUUGGGUUUCAAUCAAUUGAUUUCUCCAAAUCAAUUCACACAAGAUAGAAAAGCCAGAAUACAAAGUCAACAAUUGCGGCCUUCUUGUCUCUUUUUUUCCCCGUUACAAAGCCACGGCCAGCCCCCUUUUUUUAAGAACAAAGGGAACGAAAAAGGAAGAAAACCUAAACCAGACAAGAGGUAAAAAAAUUGUUUUCAGCCAGCCCGCUCUCUGGAGUCUAAUACCUUCCCCUAUCCGACCUUCCAGGAGGGGCUUUUUUUUUUCUCCUCUCGAGAAGUGGUCUUUUACAAAAUUAAAACGAGACUCUCUAAAAUAAAAUAAAAUAAAGUCUAUUACAAUCAAAUUUUCUCAGCUUCUCAAGGGGGCCCCACGUGCGACAAAUCUUCGAAAUUUUGACUUUAAGUACUUUUUAGCAUCAAUUCCUGUAAUUAGUAUCAAAACAAAAUAUCAGUAGAAUCCACCCAAUUAAUGAAAAUAUUUAGUCAGAUAAACAUGCAUUAAUGCCCAAAAUACCCCGCUAAAACGCACCCUAUCAUUAUUGCGGGAAAACUCAGCGUCAACGUUGGUGGACCGACAAGAAACAAUGGGCACACUCGAUGUCAAUUUCGGUGAUUUUUUUUUUGGUUUUAUUGGAAAAAUAAACGUUUAUGUGGUUUUAGCUCAAGUUAUCACUAUGGCUCACGACAUCCCCGAUCAGUUACUGAACAUCUAUAUAUUGUACAUUGUUCAUUGUAAAAUAUGUAAUCGAAAAUAAUUGCCUUGUUUGGCAGACAAGUUUUUCUGCUACAAGUUUUUUAAAAACUUUAAUUAUAGUAACUUCAAAAAAAUUUUCAAAAUUUUUAAAUUAUACACUUCAAAAUAUUCAAAAAAAAACACACUUCCAAAAUUUUUUAAAAAACUUUUACAGUAAAUUAUAGUAAAGUUUUAGACAAACACCUAAAAAACUUAUUUGCCAAACAGGGUCUAAGAGUGGUGCAAAUUAGGAAGGAUUUCCGCAACGAAUGUUGUCUGUAUUCGUUAACAUACCGAUAUUUCACUCAAUCUAUCAUAUAUAUAUAUACACACACCAAUAAUAAUUAUUUUUUCUUACAUUUAUAAAUUUUUUAAAAUUAAUCUCCUUAUAUAUAUUAAUUAAUUUUAUAUUUUUAAAAUUUUAACACUUGAAAUAUAUUUUAAUGCAUGCCCACAAGACACUCGCUAAACAAAUCGAAUUAGAAAAUCACGGCCAAGUGAGUCAGGCAGGCAAAUGAUCUCAUUCGUCUAAGUGUGUUGCUAUUUGAUCACAUAUAGGUCCCAUUUGGCAAGUGAGUUUUUUGGAUGUUUAUCUAAAAUUGUAUUGUAAUUUACUGUAGAAGUUGUAGAAAAAAUUUUUGAAGUGUAUAAACAUAUGGAUAUUUCGAAGUAUAUGGUUUAAAAAAUUUGAGAAGUUUUUUAAAAUUAUUAUAGUUAAAAUUAUUUAAAAACUUGUAGCAGAUAAACUUGAUAAAAAACUUGCUUAAUAUCUUCAUAUAACUGUGAUUUUAGUGCAUAAUCUACGAAAAUUUUCCUUUCCUAUUCUAUCUUUUGUCCCUGCUGACCUCGGGUCCUGACUGCCAUUGUUCAACCUUCACUUUAUUCAAUUAGUACCCUCAAAAUUAACUUCCAAGUUCCAGCAGGUGGAAAAAUUUCUAAGAUGGAAUUUAGGUCCCCCACAUUCAAAGGUUUAUUACUACUACACACCCAUAAAUGUCAUGCAAUAAUUUCACUCUGCUUCUAUAGGCCCACCAAGUUCAUUGAAUUAUUGUACUACUACCCAGCCAGGAAAGUCAUGAUCAAUUUCACUCUAGUUUCUCCUCUAAGUAGUCCCAUCUCCCUUGCUAAAAAUCUUGCACUUGCAAAAUAACUGGCCAAACAGUCCAAUGCAAACUACAUCUGAUUAAUUGUAACUCUCUAACUCAAGCAGUAUGAACUAAUCAACUCUGUACUAAUAUGAAUGGAGAAACUUUUUCUUGUUGCGGUCAAUUUUAAACAGCAUAUAUAACUUUGCAAUUAAGGCUAAAGAUUAGACUGAAAAAAGAAAUAGUGGGCAUACUCAGUGUCUUGUCCAUUAAAUUUUUUUUGGUAAAAUAAAUAUUUAAAUGGUUUUAACGCUAAUAACCACCACAAGUCAAGACACGUCCCAAAAUCAUACAUUUAGGGAUGGCAAUGGGACAGGUUUGAGGUGGAGGAAUCCUCACUCAUCCCCCAUCCCGACUAACCUCGUUACCCUCGCAGGUGCACCUGUCCUGCCCCAAUGCCAUUUUUAGUUUUUAUUUAGUCUUAUUUUUUCUCUUUAUAUAUAUAUAUAUAUAUAUAUAUAAUGCUAGUAAUAAUUUUAUUGAUCAUUCUUUUUAAUUUUUAGCAAAAAAUCCAGCAAUCGCCGUGAAAAGUAUGGAUGUCAGGUUCUUUAAAGAAGCAUCGAUGUCCAUGAUGUUGAAUUAGUGCUUAUUGAGUUAGUUGUUGAAAAGGAACACAGCGAAAUGACUCAUUCUCUGAAAGCUUUCAAUGGUUGAAUGUUAUCCAUCAACUUCUGUUUCAGAACUCAGAACAAUGUGAUUCAAAUUAGAUUAGGCAAGCAUUUGAGGAUGAAAUCCAUAAGUUUGUUAGAGUUUUAGUUAACUGCAUUUAAUUUGAUCCGAGAAAAGGUCAUCCAUGCUAAAAAGUGUACAAAAUGUUGAGCUAAAGAUGUGUCUUCGCAAAUGAUUCAGGACUGGUGGGAAUUUGAAUAUGGCUUUCCCAGCAUGGAUGAUUUUUCCUUUUGUUGAUCUUCAGAACAGUGUUUCCAUAUCCACUUAUUGGGAUACUUAUAACGUUUAGAUAUAAGAAUACCAUUUAUAAUACUGAUAACGAGACAUAAUGGAAGCCCAAUACUCCCCACGAACUACGGGCGCAUGCACGAAUUGAUCUUUUAACUUGUCUGCAUAAUAACUAGUGAACGUAGAUGGGUUAAGUGCGCACAAUUCCGUUAUGUUUUGCAGGUAGUGGCAUUUGAACACAGAAAAUCAACAUAUUUUAGGGUUUGUUUGCUUGGAUGUAAAAUCUUUUCAUGGGAAAAAUAUUUCAUUGAAAAUCAUUUUCGGUUGAACAUUUUUUUUUUUUAUAAUUAUUUUCAGAUCUUUGAUUCCCUUCCUGAAAAUUUUGGCUUCAUAUAUUACGCACUUUUCUCUUCAACUUGUACCGAUCUUCCACUCUAUUUUACCACUGCUUCCCACGUACCCAACUCCCAUUACACAACUAGUAUUUUGACCAGUGCUAAGCACGAAUUUAUAUUUAAUACAAUAAUAAUACUAAUAAUAAUAAAUAAAUUAUUUUUUAUUAAUUACACGAAAAAAAAGUUAAGAAAUCAAAAGAGUGCUACUUUUGUAUCUAAUUUUUAUUGUAUUUAUGUACCUUGUCUAAAACUUUAAAGUAUAUUAAAAAAUAUGAACAAAGAUCACAAAAAUACCUAAAGAAAUACUAAAAGUGCAUCAAACACAACAUUAUUAACCCCCCCCCCCCUCCAUGUGUCUUCCUCUUUGUGCCACUUUCUCUUAACAUUCCACUACUCUUCAUUACCCUCUUUCUUACCUUCUUAAUUCAAACUUCCCACAUUCCUCCAACUUUUUUCCCUCCCACAAACUCUACCUUCCCUUCACCCUACUCUGCUUUUUUCAAAUUGUGCAAUCUCUUACUAAUUUCGUAAUCUAUUUCCUGCCAUCCUAUUGUUCUUUCCACCCAUUUAUAGUUAUAAAUAGUGACCAAUUUUGCAACUUGUUCUUGAACAAAUGAGUUUGGGUAUGCCAUCUACUUAGGUUCAAAUGGAUAACCUAAUGACACCCAUUAAUUAGUGACUAUUAAAUGGAAGGAAUGGCAUCACUUAUUUAGAGCUAAUUAAAUUAGAUGUAGAUUCAAAUUCAAUCGUUAGUAAGUAAAUUUAAAUCACUACCAAUUCAAUAAUUAUACUCUACUUUUUGCAAAGGCAUAUUUAAUGUUCUUUUCCUAUUCUUUAAUUUUCAUUAUUUUAAUUUUUGUUAAAUUUCAUCCUACUUCCUCUCCCUUCCAUCAAAGUUUUAAUGAACUCCUUGAGUGUUAAUUGAUUUUAACAUUCACACCUAAAUUAUUUUUAGAUUCUUAUAGAGUGAUAAAAUUUGAAACUCCUUAUGAUCACCACUAUUGAUUCUUCCAUGUAAUUUGAGAAUUUUGGCAAAGUAAAAAAUGAAAAAGUUCCUGAGCCAUAUUUGAGAAAUUUCAACUUACUAGGUUAAUAAGUGUAAAUGCUGCUCUUACGAGGGAAUCAAGAAUGAUUGAACAAAAACAUUUCAACUUAAGUGUGUUUCGAUAGCUAUUAUUUGGCUUCAAAUUAUUUGUUUGCAUCACAAACAUAAUUUUCAAAAUACCUUUUUAUCUUUCCAAUCAAUUUUUUAUCUCGCAUACAUUACAUCACAAAAAGUGCUAUAGUAAUUAUUCCAAAUAAUAUUUCAAAUAAUCCCCUAUCCAAUAAGAAAAAAAUCAUAUAUUCAAUAAUUUUCAGCGCGAUCAUAUGGUUGUAACUACAAAUAACCUACCAUGAAAAUACCUAUUUUUAGCUUCAUUUCAUCAUGUGAAUUUCUCGUGAUUUCAUUUUAGCAUCCUUAUUUUUUAAUUAAAACAAUCUUGUGAAAAAGCUUCCUGUAUAAGCAAAAACAAAAGAAGAAUACACAAUGGCAAAUUUUAGUUCAUAGUUAGCUUCCAUGUUCGUGAAAAAUUUUCUAGGAUGGAUUCUAAAUUGUGUCCCCCAUGUUCAAAGUUUAUUACUACACAACCAAAAAAGUCAUGCAGUUAUUUCACUCUACUUUCUUAUGCCAUUGCUUGGAAAAAUGUAAUCUAUAGGUCCACCACAUUCAAUAAUUGUACUACUACACUGCUAGGAAACUCACAAGCAAUUUCGCAAGUCUACUUUCUUAUCAAUAGCAGUACCACUACUUUGUCUUCGUUAAUAGACCAUCUCCAUUGCCAAAAAACCUUGCAUACACAAAUGUUCAAUUUCAAACUCUCCAUAAAACAAAUAAAAAAGAAAAAAGUCAUUUACUUUUGGGAAUGGAAAAAAAUUAAAAAUGUUCCUGCAUCAUAUUCGAGAAAUUUCUACCGAUAAAUAGGUGUAAAUGCGGCUCUUAGAGGGAAUCAUAGAAUGAUUGAACAAAAACACAAUGGAAGUUAUUUCACUCCCAAAUAAGGUAUUUCACAUCUUCAACAAUUUUCAAUGGGAUCAUAUGGUUGUAACUACAAAUAGCCUACUAUAAAAAUGAUAUUGAAGAUGGCAUUCAAAAACUUUGACCCCGAUUGUGAUAUUUCGCAGAAAAAUUUUUAUGUUUUUCACGAACACAUUUUUCAAUUAUUUUUUUACCUCGCAUACGUCAAACUGUUACAAUAUACUUUUUUUUUUUUUUUGCAGAAACUCUUAAAAUAGCAAUCCAAACGGGCUAGAUUUUACUACUUGUGCUGACUCAUCUUGACAAUUAUUGGGUCAUAAACAAUUGUAAUCUAGUGCCAAAAUUUCAAUCUUCUCAACCAUUUCAAGAUAGCAAGAAAAUGCCCCGAAUUCUAUAUAUAUUACUUGUAUGAUUUUUGAGUAUGGGUUAAUUUAACAUGUCCUGGAAGUUAUUUUAACAUCUCCAUCUUUAACUUCAUUUCAUCUUGCGGGUUUCUCAUAAUUUUAUUUUAGUGUCUUUAUAUUCAACUUAAAAUAAUCUUGUGAAAAAAAGCUACAGUACAAGCAAAAACAAAAGAAGCAUGGUAAUUAUCAAACCUUCUCUUUUUCAAUUGGUACAUAUAAAGUUAACUUGCAAGUUCCAACCGGUAAGAUGAAAUCUAAUUUAGGUCCCCCAUAUUCAGAAGUUAGGUCAUGCAAUAAUUUGAGCCUGCCUCUAUAGGUCCAGCACGUUGAGUAAUUGUUCUACUAUCCAACCAGGAAAGUCACGGCCAAUUUCACCCCACUUUCUUAUCAAUUACGGUACUGCUCCUACUUUCUCCUCUAUAUGAUACUCCAUCUUCCUAGCUAAAAGCCUUGCACAUACUGCAUUGUUUUAAUUUUGAUUCAAAUUAUCAUCUUCCUCGCCCGUGUUCUCUUUUUCACCAAACUUGGAUUUGACAGGGUAGGUUCACGAUAAACAGGCACUUUUCCCAUAUUCAUCAGAUCAGCUAUUGCCAGAGAUUUUAUUUUCUCUCAAGUAAGUGCUGAGAUUUGUUCACUUUUCUUGAAGUUCAAGGCUUUUUUUUUUUUUUUUUUUUUUAUAAACAUAGCCUCACCAUAUAAGGGAAUAUCUGCAGAUUCAACGGAUCAACCGUUGCCGGAGUGUUCAUUCUCUCCAAAGUGAGUGCUGAAUUUUUUUUUCUUUUUUUUUCAUACACAUUUUUUGGUUGAAAUAUAAAUGGCUUCCAUGUGUUUAUGACAUUCAUUCUACUAGCAUACUUUCAUAUGUUGGCGACUAGCUUCCAAGGCUAGAAUUUUUGCUUCCUGCUAUUCUUGAAACUAACAAGAAGGGUAAAACACUCAAAAUUGUACAGUGCAAAUGUGCAAUAUGCAUCCCAUGUUCAAAACUCUCUAUUACUAGACAACCCUGAAAGGUCAUGCAGUUAUUUUUUCAUUCUACUUUAUUAUGCCAUUGCUUGGAAAAAUUCUAAUCUAUAGGUCCACCACAUUCAAUAAUUGUACUGCUACAAGGCUAGGAAACUCAUGACCAAUUUAACAGAUCUACUUUCUUUUCAACAACAAUACUACUCCUUUCUCCUCAAUAAUAGAUCGUCUCCAUUGCCAAAAAGCCUUGCAUAUACGAACAGUUUCUACAUUUUUUCUUAAACUUUACUUUUGAGUAAUUAAGUAGCCUCACGAUAUACUAGCAAUUUUCCCAAACUCAACAGAUCAGCUACUCCCAGUGGUUUCUUUCUUUCUUUUAUUUUACUCUCAAGUAAGUGCUUAAUUUUUUUUUCCCUCAAACUUAAAGGAAUUUUUAUUUUUCUAUUUUUUUUUUUUGACGUAGCCUCGCCAGUAUAAACGGAAUUUCUGCAAAUCCAACAGAUCAGCUUUUGCCAGAGUGUUCAUUCUCUCCAAAGUAAGUGCUGAAUUUCUUUUCUUUUUAUUAUUAUUAUUAUUAUACACAUUUUUGGUUGAAAUAUAUAUAUCUGGCUUCCAUGUGUUUUUGACAUUUAUUCUUCUGCUACUAUGUACUUUUAUACGUUGCCGAGUAGCUUCCAGGGCUGGGAAUUAGCUUCCUGUUAUUCUUGGUAGUAUAUCAUACUAGUUUGGAUGCACGUGCUUUGCGCAUAACCCGCGUUGUGUGGUAAUUUUCUUAUAUUGCGUGGUUUUUUUUAUUAUUUUUUUAAUGCUAAGCAAAUUUUAGAAUGAAAGCUUUUCCUUUUUUCUCCGUUAUGGGCAUAUAGAUGAAUAAUCUAUCUUUUGGAAGGGAAUGAUUGGAGUAGGAAAUUCUAGGUUGACAUGCUUUCUAAUAAUAUUCAUGGAUAAGUUUUUAUGCAUAACAUUGUUAAACUUGCAUUUUUUUACAUGAAUUUUCUACUGUAGUUUUUAAAGAGUAAUUUGUGUAUGUAAGACAUUUUGUGUCAUUCUCAUACCUUAUCUUAGUGACGGCGCUUUUUGUCUUUCGAGAGUUUUCUUUCUGCAAUUAAUCAUGAAAAUUUGAUAGAGUCAUAAUUCAUGACAUUUUCUUAGAUCAGAAACUUGAAAUGAGAAACCAAAAAAGAAAAAUUAACAGUCCUUGAAAAGAAAAUGAGAAGUGAAAUAGGGACACUAACUAUCCUAAAGUUUAGGAUAAUGAUACAAUGAUAAUGUUAGAAUACUUCAGCUAUACUAUCUUUUUCGUAUCGAUUGACCCACUAAACUUUUAAAGCUAAUUAAUUGAACCAUUCCGUGUAGUUAGUGGUUAAAAAAAAUGAAACUUUCAGAAUUAGUGGGGAACUUUUGUCACUUUGUUAAUGAAAAAUAGUAUGGCGGAUUAAAUGGGAGUUUAGUAAAAUUAAGUGAAUCUUGAUACAAUUUGUUGGAAAACUUUUUGGAAACUAAAGAAGAAUGGAAAAAAAGGAAUGUCUUAGAAAAUGUUUAACACAACUAAUUCUCACAUUUUCAAAUCUUUUGAGCUAGUAUUAGAAAUACUUUAGUUAGGUGACCAUAAGAUCUGACAUUCGACUAUCAAAUUCUUAAUUUUUUUCUUUCCCAUUGUAAGGCUGAAGUCUCCCAUUCAAAGGGAAAAAAACAGUACUCGUAACUUUUAAGCUUUCUUUAGUUGACAUGAUGUAUCGUUAUAAAAUAGUAACCCAAAAUUUCAGUAGCUAAAAAUAGCCAUGCAAUCACACACACAAGGCAUGUAAAAAAUCUUCAGUUCUUCGUUUAUUUAUUUACUUUUGCAAGAUGGCGCAGUAGCUAUUCCUUCAUGCGGUUGAAGUGCCUACAAUCAAUUGGAAGUUGCUGAAAAGUGAUAAAAUCUUCCUAAUAUAAUUUCCAUGAUUUUGCAUUUUAGCUUCAGUCGUAGACUAGGCAUCUUCUUUCAAAAUCAAGUCAUCGUUUGGCUUUUUCUUUUUAAGAUUCCAUCUUUUGCUUUGGUUUGCUCUCUCUUUUUUAAAGAUUAUGACCCCAAAGAGGAACGGGUCAUCAAAAAGGAACCAAAGUGAAGUAGGACCUUGCUAGGAAGUCAUGGUUUUGCUCUGUUGAUAAAAAAUUUGCUAUUUUAUAAAAGGAUCAUAAUUGUAUAAUUACCCUUGUAAAUUUGAAAAUCAAAGACACAAUAAUGUAAAGUCAAAUUUUUACUAUCUCCCUUCUCUGCACGCUUUUCAACCACAAACUAUUAGGACCAGGAUUCAUAAUGUUUCUGUCUUACCUUGAAACAUUCAAAAUUUUAAAAAUCUGCAUGAACAUCUAUCACAACUAAAAGAGGAUGGUACUGGUUAGUCAAAAAAGUAAAAAUCAAAUCGCAAGUAACUUAUCAGUUAUGACUAUACCUGGCAAUUGGGCGGGUUGGACGGAUUUUGGACGAGUUGAUAUUGGGUUUUUACUUAAAUGGAUUAUACCCAACCCGCCCAACUUUAAAUCGGGUUAGUUUUGGGUUGGGUCAUAUUGGGUCAUCUCAAACCCAAGACCCAAAUAUGACCCAAUAUAUUAAUUAAUAGAUUUUGAUACAUAAAUUCUCUCAAAUAUAUUUUUGCAUACAAAAAUUUUUUUUCACACACUAAAACAAUUUUGGUCCAAGUUGAAUAUAGCAUGAAAAAAUGUUAUACCAAUAUUAAACAAGAUCCAAUCAUGCCUUAAUUAAAUUGAAACUUGAUAAGAGAGAUACAAUUCUCAACCAAUUAGUUCAAAUAUCACUAUCCAAUUCAUUUGAGAUUUGUGAAUUGUGACUUUUGGGUUCCUUUUAUUCAUUAUUAAAUAACCUCACUUUGCACUUUUUACACAAUUAUUGUGGUUGAAUAUCAAUCUUGUCUUGUGAUAAACCUUCAUGUCAAGGGCCAAAAAAGGGGAAAAAAAAGACGAAGAAGAAAGAAAAUUGGACCCAUGAAUGAUCUAAUUGACAAAUUUUAAUUAAUAAUUGAGCAACUUAUGAAAGCAAUUAAAAAUUUGCUUGCAUAUUUUGCUAGAUUUUUUAGGAACUAGUAAAUGCUUAAAAACACGAGUUGCUAAUAGAAUCUCUCCGUCCAAAAGAUAACAAUGGAAAAAAAUAUGUAUAUGUACAUUAACAUGCAGUUGAACAGUAAUCUUCACAAUCCUAAAACCAAUUAGUAAAGGAACAAGAUGUGUAUGGACUUGCAAGUUUGCUAUCUUAAAGGGAAAAAAAAAAAAAAAAAAAAACAGCAAGCGCGAUGCAGUUGACAAGAAUGUGCCAAAAUGCUUAAAGUUAAGAAAACGGUGGUGGAUUGAAAAUUCCCGACGAGAGGCCUCCAUUGUUUUUUUAAGUUGGGUAAUGGGUACCCAACUUAAUUACCCAAACCGCCCAAAAUACAUGUGAGUUUUUAUUAUCCAACCUAAAAUUAACCCAACAUCCAAUUUACCCAACCCAGCCUCUUAAAUUAGUGGGUGGAUUGGGUGGAUUGUUGGAUUUUGGGUAUAAUUGCCACCUCUAGUUAUGACAUCCAAUUCUUUAGUUGGCCUGAUUUGAAAUUGUAAAUCAUCGUGGCACAUUAACAAAAAAUUACACAAAUUACAGUAGUUAAAACACACACACAAAAAGGCAUAUACUACACUUUUUCGUCCAUCAUUUAUUUACUUUUGCAAGAGGGUGCAAAAGUAAAUCAUACGAAAGGUCCUGAAGGGUGAAGACCCCACGGACAGCAAAGUCUUUCUAAUAGCUUCCACGAAUUUGCAUUUUAGCUUCAUUUGCAGACAGGGCACCUUCGUCUUUCAAAAUCAAGUCGUUGUCUGGCUUCUUCUUUUUAAUUUCCAUCAUUUUGCUUUAGGGUGUUCUUUCUUUCUUGACAAUUAAUACUUCAUUUCCCUACAGUUUCUUUCUUCUGAGGAACCACUAUCGUGGAUCAUAGGUGAAAGAAGCAACACAAUAUCACUAUAAGUAAAAGAGUACAAGAGAGAGAGAGCACAAAACCCUACAAAAUAAUUCCAAGGUCCAAAUGUAUCUAAAACUAAAAACACUUGAGAUCUUUUUUUUUUUUUUUUUUUUUUGGAAGCAUAACACUCGAGAUUUUAAAGAAGCACACAAAUGUCUUAUAAAAUCAAAAUUCCUAAAGUUUAGGAUAAUGUUAGAAUACUUCAGAAUUUUGCUAUACCCUCUUUUUCGUAUGGAUUGACCCACUAAAAUUUUAAAGCUAUUUAAUUGAACCAUUCCGUCUAGUUAGUGGUUAAAAAGCUGGGAACUUAUAAAACACAGCAGCAGAUUGCAAUUAGUGGGGAACUUUUGUAGCUUCGUUAAUGAAAAAUAGUAUGGCAGACUAAAUAGGACUUUAGGAAAAUUAAGUGAAUUUGAUGCUAUUUGUUGGCAAACUUCUUGGAAACCGAAGAAGAAUGGAAAAGAGAAAUAUCUUAAAAAAAGUUAAACACAACUAAUGCUCACAUUCUUAAAUUUUUUGGGGUAGUAUUAAAAAUACUUUAGUAGGUGACCAUGAGAUUUUUCCUACUAACUUUAAUCACAUGCCAAAUAAAAUGUUGCUUUUUAAAGAACAUACCAUUGCAGGUGAAAAGUACUGCCACAAACUCGAUUUGUCAAGUGACAAGAUCAUUACUUCAGAAAAGGGUAUGCUGAUUUUUGCCUCUAUCUUCCGCACUUUUCAGAAAGAAAAAAAAAAGGAGCAUAAUCAUUUAUAUGAGUUAAUAGUGACAGAAAAAAAAAAGAGUAUGUCCCUUUAAAGGAUAAACCAAAAAAAGGGUAUAAUCACUUAUUUGUGCUUUAUGAUUAUCCUAUUUGAACUACUCCUCUAUUUUCUUUUUCUUUUUUUACACUUUUCCUAUUUUUUCUUUUGACAAUGCCGUUCUUGAUAAUCCCUAAAAUACUAUCCUCUUCCAGUUUGUCUUAUUUUUCUCACAGUAUUUUUUUCUAGUUUCUGGUUGCUUUUAAGACAUAAAGAUAUAUGGAUUAGAAUUUUAUUAAUGUCCUUGAAAUCACAAAUGCACUCAAAAAUUUGUGGAACUUAUCAUCUUAUAAAUAUUGGUAAGACUAAAAACUGCUUAGACUCUAUACACUAAACAAAAAUUUAGUAUUUUUCUUUAUUUGAGCUAUUUAAUUAUUCUCAUUUUUAUAACAACUCCUGUACUCUAGAUUCUAAAAGAAACAAAAUUUUUCCAAUCUCUGUGAAUUCGAUCCUACUAACCACUAUAUAUAAAAUCUGUAUUUUUAUUAGAAUAAAUUUUUAUUAUUACAUAGGCCCGACACUUGUCAACUAUCCCCUUCCAGUUUGUCUUAUUUUUCUCACAGUAUUUUUUUCUAGUUUCUGGUUGCUUUUAAGACAUAAAGAUAUAUGGAUUAGAAUUUUAUUAAGGUCCUUGAAAUCACAAAUGCACUCAAAAAAUUUGUGGAACUUAUCAUCUUAUAAAUAUUGGUACUACUAAAAACUGCUUAGACUCUAUAUAUUUAGAAAAUAAUGGCCAACAAUAUUAAAUUAUUAAAGUGUACCCCUAAAAAAGUAAAAAAAAAUGACAAGAAAUCUUUCUCACACGACUUUGACAAUUCUUUUUGUAGGAAUGAUAUCAAGAUGACAAACACUUACCGAAAAGAAUAUGGUUUUAGUUGUCAUGGGAUUCAAGUAACUUGAGUAAUUGACUCUCAAAGUUAUGACUAGCAACAAAUUUCACCGGUAAAUUUUAAAUAUUUAACUAAGGUAACUGUUUUGAUAUAGGAAUUUGAAAAAAAAAAAAAGGUAAUAACUCAAUCAAUUGAACUACUGCUUUUUAGCCUAUCACUCCAAAAUAUAUUCAGGAAAAGCCAAUAAAAGAAUUCCUUUUAUUUUUUUGGGAUAAUUUCAGAAACCUCCCCUGAGGUUUCUGACAAUUUCACUGACCUCCCCUGAGGUUUCCACAAUUACACUAACCUCCCUUGAGGUUUCUGAUUUUGUAACAAAAUCAGCCCAUGACCACAAAAGUAAACAUAAAAAAGUGUUUUCAGGAAAGAGAGGAAAUUUUGUUCCCAUAAAUGCCCUUAAGGUAGGUGUACAAGUUAUAUUAGUGAAUUAAUGAAAACUAAUAAAAAUCAGAAAUAAAUAAGAAAAAGUGAGGGGAUGGGUAUGGGAAUCAUAAAAUUUUACUUAUGGAUAUAAACAAUUGGGUAACGCAACCGACCCAAUUAACCCAUCUACCACCACUCAGGUCAUUUCACAAAUACAUUCAUCAGACAAAGCUUUCCUCUUGUCACAAAAAUUCAAAGCAAUGUGGUACAUGUUCACAAGCAAGCAGGUUAAAAUCCCGCCUGCAUAAUAACGUUGAAACCCUGCAAGCGGGAUUCUGUGUUUUUUCUAUUUCAAGGUUAGCUCGCAUGCGGGUUAAUGUUAUAUUUGAGCGCGAGAAGAAAAAAUUGGUAAUUAGGCUCUUUGGGCAUUAUAAGUAAAUAUUUAAAUUAAUGGCAGUUUUAUUACACCAAUAUUAUUGUAUUAUCAUUAUUAUGAUUAUUGUAUUAUUUCUUAUGCAAAUAUAACAUUUAAUUAUUUAAAUUUGAUUUUAUUUUUACAAUUUAUAAAAUUUUUAUCACUUAUAUAAUAUUUUUAAAACCCUAAUACAUCUAAAUUUGAUUUUAUUUUUCAAAUUUAUAAGAUUUUUAUUUAAAAAAAUGGGAUACGGAUAAGAUAUCCGGUUGGUUCGAUUUGCAUAGGUGCAUAUGAGAAUAUCCGAAUACUCUUUAAACCCGCAUGCGGGUUUAAGGAGAUUAUGGCAACUCUCUGACACACUAGUUACCCGUCCAACUUGUGUGUAUUAAAAUAUAUUUAAAUAUUAUAUUUCAUAUUUUUGUUAUUUAGAGUUUAACAAAACAUUAAUAUUGGGUAGAUUUGAGGGAUAUGCAUAAUUUUGCAUAUUUGUAGGAAUAUUAGAAAAUGGAAAAUUUGGGUAAAUUCCCAAAUUUUGGAGGUAAGGUGUAAUCCAAGAACUAAAACAGUCAUUUAUAAAACCUUAACAGUAAUAAGGUGCAAACCAAAACUGCAAUCCAAGAGUAAUAUCAUUACAAAUUUCAUAACCAUACAUUAAAUAAAUAGAAAUGCAAUCCAAUACUAUCCAAAACACCAUCUGCCUUAUCAUAUUUUAGUCCUAUAAUAACACAAAAUGUCUUGGGUAUAAUAGUAAUUUUGCAUUAUAUGAUGUCAGCAAUUGGGUCCCAAGUUCUGCCAGGGGAGGUCAGUGUAAUUGUGGAAACCUCAGGGGAGGUCAGUGAAAUUGUCAGAAACCUCCCCUGAGGUUUCUGAAAUUAUCCCUAUUUUUUUUUUAGUUGGGAUUGCAUGGAUAGAAUAUUACUUAGAAAAACUUUUGUAUAAUUCACUGUAGCAUGUUUUGUAGUAUAAUGUAUUUAAGAUAAAUAAGUAAUUGUAAAACAUGUUUAAGAGCAAUUAAAAAAAUAAAUAUUCUUUUAGAGUCAUCACAAUGAUACGUAACACAUCUGUCCCACAAAUUAGACAUCAUUGCAUAAGUAAAUCAGUAAAGGACAGAUUCACAUGUGAAUAUUGUCCGGAAGUCUGUAAGUUCAGCCCCACACCUUUUAUAUUAACAGAUCUGAACGCGGUUUGAUUUGUUGACCAAUAGUACUGAAUCGCACAUUAUUAAAGUUCAUCAUAUUACGAACCGAUGACCAACUCUAAUUUCUUCCUUUUCUGUACAAGCCACAAGGUCAAGGAGCCUCUGUUCCUUUCCUGAUAUUCUCAAGUUAAAGAAAAGGACUGAAAAUGGCAGAAACAGUUCUCUCUUUUGUGUUAGAUCAGCUCUCAAUUUUUCUGCGUGAAGAGGGCAGAUUAUUGGGAGGGCUUCGCCAAGAGGUUCAACUCAUCAGCGAUGAGUUGGGGCACAUGAGAGCUUUCGUGGGAGUGGCAGAAACAAUAGAAGAAGGUGCUGAUCCCAGGCUCCAAGAAUGGAUCAAGCAAGUACGAGAAGCCGCUUAUGACACCGAAGAUGUUCUUGAUGAAUUCGUAGCUUGCUUUGCUCACCAUCAUGCAACAGGGUUCUAUGGCUCUGUUAGGAAAAUUUUCAACUCCAUAAAGACUUUGCGAGCUCGUCGUAAGGUUGCUGUGCAAAUACAAAGCAUCAAGGCCAGAGUAAAGAAUAUAUCUGAAGGGCAUCAGAGAUACCAAUCAGAAUUCGGCGGUACUACCCAAGCGGCCGAGUCUCUCGCUGCUGUUAACAACACAACAUGGCGCUAUAGCAGGGAUGAUGCACUUCUCGUGGAAGAAGCUGAACUAGUUGGCAUUGACCACCCCAAACAACAGCUAAUUUCUCAACUACUCGAGAGGGAUGAUUCCCAGCUCAAAGUUGUUUCUGUGGUUGGCAUGGGAGGACUCGGUAAAACUACCUUAGUCAAAAAAGUCCACGAAGAUUAGCUAUUAGAAGGCAUUUCCCAGUUCGUGCCUUUGUAACUGUCUCUCAACCAUGCAACUUCCUGGAGCUCCUGAAAGACUUGACUCGGCAGUUACACAAUGAAUUGAAGAAACCAGUUCCAGAAUCGAUUGAGGCAAUGACUGCAAUUCAGCUGAAACAAUGUGUUAAAGAUUUUCUUCAACAACCUGUAAGGUAUGCAAUUGUGUUUGAUGAUGUAUGGGAUGUAGAAUUCUGGAAUGCAAUUAGAUUUGCACUGCCCGAAAAUGGCUAUGGCAAUCGCGUCAUGCUAACAACACGAAAAACCGAUGUAGCCUCUGCAUCUUGCAACAAAUCUCAAGAUUAUGUCUUCAAAAUGGCGCCCCUGUCUUUCGAGGAUUCAUGGACCCUAUUUUGCAGCAAGAUCUUCAAGGAAAAUGGUUGUCCUGCCCAUCUAAUAGAUGUUGCAAAAGGUAUACUGGGGAAAUGUGAGGGAUUGCCCCUUGCGGUUCUUGCAAUCAGUGGGCUUUUGGCUUUGAAAGACUUGAAUAUUGCAGAGGAAUGGGAGAUGGUUCGACGCAGCCUUGGGGGUGAAUUAGAAGGCUGUGGUAUGCUGGACAGGGUAAAAAAGAUACUUUCUCUCAGUUACAAUGAUCUGCCCUGCCAUCUUAAGUCCUGUUUGUUGUAUUUAAGCAUUUAUCCAGAGGAUUUUGAAAUACGUUGUGGUAGACUUGUUCGAUUAUGGUCAGCUGAAAGAUUUGUAGGUAAGAAAGAAGGAAUGACUGUGGAAGAUGUAGGCUACAAUUACCUCAGAGAACUGGUCAAUAGGAGCCUAAUUCAAGUGACCCAAAUUUUUUAUGAAGGAAUCCCCUACGCUUGUCGAAUCCAUGAUCUAGUGCGAGAAAUUGUUCUUUCCAAGGCAAGGGAACAAAAUAUGAUCGCAAUUACUACUGGACAAUACACAAAGUGGUUGUAUGAGAAGGUACGCCGUUUGGUAGUCCAUAGUAGCAGCAACAACACCGAGCAGCACCAAGAAAGCCAAUGUUAUAGCUUUAACCACCUUCGAUCCUUUAUUACGAUUGAAUCCAUGAAUCCACCGAUAUCCAGAGCCUUGUUAUGUAAAGCUUUAAAGAGUAGCAGACUGUUAAAGGUUUUGGAUCUGAGUGAUGAAAAGACAUUGGAGGAAAUCCCAAAUGAGAUUUUCAACUUGUAUCAUCUCAGGCAUCUGAACCUAUAUAGGACAGGGGUUAAAGCAGUCCCGAAAUUCAUAGGAAAGCUUCGAAAUUUGGAGUAUUUGGAUUUGUGUGAAACUGAAGUCAAGGAAUUACCCGUGGAAAUCCUGAAGCUACAAAAUCUUGAGCAUCUUAUGGUAUACCAAAAAGUUGAUUCUUCUGAUGACAGUCAAGGAUAUCAUGGGUUUAAAGCUCCACCAAAAUUGGGAGGACUUCUUGCCCUACAAUCAUUAACAACCAUAGAUGCGAGUAACGGAUCCGUAAUAGUUAAAGAGAUAGGAGCAUUGACUCAAUUAAGACGAUUAGGGAUUUCAAAUCUGAGAAGAGAAGAUGGAAAGGUGCUCUGCUCCUCCCUCGCCACCCUCACUAGUCUUCGGCAACUAAACAUUAGUUUAAUUAGAAAUGAUGGGGGUGAUUAUGAGGUAAUGGAUCUGAAUCAUCAUGAUCAACAACAACAUUCUCUUUCAUCUUCAAUGCCUUCUUCAUUUCUCCAAUCUCUUCGUAUGCUAAUAUUGCAUGGCCGCUUAGAAAAGAUGCCGAAAUGGAUAGCUCAUCUUCAAAGCUUGGUAAGAAUAGAUUUGGAUUGGAGUGGCUUAAGGGAUGAAGAGGAUCUGCUUGAACCCCUCCGCCAUUUGCCAAAUUUGGUUAUUAUUCAAUUUUGUGGAUCUUACCAAGGAGAGGGGUUGUGUUUCAAGGCUGGAGGAUUCCUGAAGUUAAAGAAAUUGUACCUAGAGAAAUUAGAGAAGUUGAAAUGGCUGAAAGUGGAGGAGGGUGCAUUACCCAAUCUCCGCAAACUUUGUCUGGAUACACUUCCAUUGCUAGAGGAGUUACCUUUGGGAAUUCAGCACUCAAGGAAUCUUCGAAAGCUGUAUUUGUCUGGGUUGAGUUCUCAACUGAUGGAGAAGCUAGAGAAUCUAAAUGAAGAGACUGAAGAUUAUAGAAAAAUUGCACACGUUUCUGAAGUUGUCAUUGGAUUGUGGACAGAUGAGGGAUGGAGACUGCACCGGCUGUGGGGGAAGAAUAUGUAAGGCCUUGUUUGGAUUGCGGUUUUUCGUCAGAAAAUUAUGUCGUUCUCGUUUUCCGUGAUCACAUUUCCCUAUGAUCUUUUUCCCUCACAUACAUCAAAUCGUUACAGUAAUUUUUCCAUGAAAAAUCAUGGAAAAUGCAAUCCAAACACAACCUAAAUAUUUCCUUCCUAUUUCUUUUCUUCUUUUUUUUUUGUACGUUUGUUUGUAACUUCUGAGUUUAUAAUUUGCUUUAUCUUUUAUCUAAUUGUAUAAAUAUUGUGUUGCAUAAUCUUGUUUAUUUUUUUCUUUAAUUGAUUUAGCCAAUAAUUUAGAGGUGCCUUAGCAUCUUGCACACAAUUUCAAUAUACAAUCUAAAACAAUAGCCUAAAAUUUUGGUACAAAAUUAAAACAUGAAGCCUAUGUUUAUACGCUGGUAUGACUUAGAGAUUGAUUUCUCUAGUAGUUAAUAAUAUAGUAAUUUUUGGACAAAUAAUGGUUGUAUCAGUCCUUUAUGCUCAUCCAUCUGUCCUUUUGGACAAAUUAAUAUUCUCAAGUAAAUUAUUUUCAAUCAUGCCCACUUAUUACAGUCAUGAAAACAAUUUCUUUUUUCCAUGAAUUGAUAAUCGAAUGUUCGCACUAUAAUGCCCAAUCCACCAAGGUUCAUUUUUAAACUAAAAAUAUUGAAGUUGCUAAAAUUGAGAACUUCUACAUCACACAGAAGUAUUUGUUGAUGAAUGCAGUCAUACUCAUAGUCAAUAUUUGUAAGGCAACACAGAAGUAUAAAAAAGCAAAUAAUAGUGCUUUGUUUGGAAAGCAAUUUUUCUCCCAAGAAAGUGUCUGAGAUUUGUAUUUUACAAGUCAUGUAACUUGUAAUGAUGCCUACAACUGUCAAAAUUACGUAUUUAUAUCAUAGGAUAUGCUUGCAUCCUAUGCAUCAUAGGAUGCUUUUCCCUGCAAAUUCCUGAGAAAAAUUCUAUGCAAACAACUCAAAGGGAAGAAGGUCAACCCAAUACCGGGAAGGAUUCACAUGAUUCAGAUAUUGCCGUAUCAUGGGUCUGAUUCAUGUGUCCCUAUCCUUCAAGUUGACUAAACCAGUCUGUAAUUGUUCUUGUGAGGACUCUAGUGUCGUUCAAAGAAAUUGUCUUAAGACCUUGAGCAACAGCAUCUACAGGCGAGUAUAUAUCUCCCACUUGCCAUCUAGGUUCCUGAUUGUCCAACAAAACAAAUUUCAGCAUAAAUGGAGAAUAAAAAGAAGAAAUUUAGUUAGAGAACAAUCGUUGACCAUGUCAUUUUCUGAAUCCUGAUUGUUCUGAUUACCGUGCCACUUUCCAAUUUUUUAUCAAAAGUGACUUAAAGAUCAUGCUAAGUAAUACAUACACAAUUGGCACAAGAUACAAGGCGCAGCACAACAUGUCAGCAUAAAUUCCCAGAAAGCAAAGGACUAAAGAUUAUGAUACAAAAGGAGUACAAAGUUACUGCAGCAUACCUGUAUGCAAGGUGUAAUAUGAGUUCCAUUCAAUAUUAUUUUCUGUAGUUUUGCACCAAUAGAUUCCACUCGAGGCUUCAGUGUCUCUUCAAGGAGAUCAGUCUGAUCAAUUGCAUCAACAUUGAACUUGACCUGAAAAAAGAAUCAGAUAGACUUAAAAGUGAACAUUGAAGUUGGAGCAAUUCAAUCAAUUCUGGUACUUGAAUAACAUGUUCAAACCAGUAAUGUAUGCUGAACAUUGUAUGACUUCUGGAAACAGUCAAGAUUCUCAGAGGGUGUUGGCCUGAACUCCGAAAUUCCUUCAGCAAGCUGAAGUAACAUCCAUUUGAGGCAGUUUGAGGAUUAGAGAAUGACCAGAAGACAGAAAGAGCGACAAUGCCAUUUCACCAUUUGACAGAAAAAUGAUGGAGAUAUAGACAUGUUCAGCCACAAAGGUGGCAGGAUUUGUUUUCCAGGUUGGAUAGACAUCAUCAUGUAAGUGGGGUGUCACCUGAUUAAAAACAGCCGGCAAGUGAUCAACAAACUUGUUGACUGACACUGCCACUUCUGGAUCGUAAUCUGGAAUCAUGGUUCCAGCAGUAUCAAGUAGUACUUUCCAUGCAUCUGCUGUAUAUUAGUAUCAAUGACAGGAGAAGGCAUUAGAAGCAGAAAGAUGACAAUUUGAUUCAACCUCAUCAGCCAUAUGUCUUCAAUCAAAUGAAGCAUUGUAUCAUACCUAUGAAAAAAAUCCCAAUUUGAUUUUAAAACCUGUACCAGGAUAUUUUCAUUACUACUUGAAGGCUUGCCUUGGUUUACAGAGAUACCUUAUAUUUGGUAAUUGUGAAACUUGGGGAGGAUUUAAUAAAAGUUUCAAAAAUAAUAAUUUCAAGGUCUUGAAUUGAUUUCUGUUUCUUGUAAAUCAUAAAAAAUGAAAGGACAAGUUAAUUAUAUGUCACUCUUGUGCUCUAUUGCUUCUUCGUGAAUAAUAAAGUACACGAAACAUAACCUGCCAUUGUUUGCAAGUAAAUAUCUCUGUAUUCCCUAAGACCCUAGAAAUAAUAUUCUACUCCCUCGACACAAAAUAUAAGACCGAUGUUUUAGAUGAUCUAAAGCCUGACAUCAAAACACUUCAUGCAUAAAGUUUCUCUUCUUGAUAAAGCCCAGUUUUCAAGCAUCAUUCUGCAUCGCAUUGUUAUAAAAGCUUUAUGCACCAUUAGCUUGAUCAAGGAUUAAAUGAAUACACUACUUGCUUCAGUGUCCAUCAUGCUCAUAUCUUCAGGAAUAAAUGAGAAACAACAUUAUGUGGGUUAUGUGAAGGAAGGACUUAGGAGGACUCGUAGAUUACAGCCAAGCAUGUGCAGACUCCCCAGUCCCCCCACCUCCCCUCCCACCCCCCCCCCCCACAACAAUCAGGGAGAGGGGGGGUUGGGGGAAGCCUCUAUGGUUCAGGAAAAUAAUGUUUAGGCCACACAAGGAAUUAACUGUUAGUAAACAUUUGCAAAAUUAAGAAAAAGAAACCAAAUGCAAAAGUACAAAUUCAAUUAUAGUUAAUGAUUCAUUUUCUUUUUCUAAUUUCUAAUUAUUAAGUUUUGUACAAACUGAAAAAAUUAUUUUUGUUGUUACUGCUACAUUUGCUAUCUACAAUGAAAAUGCACAUAUUAACAUUUGAAAGUUGCAAUGAAGUACACUCUCUGCAAAAUGUCAAAUAACGUUUCCUUUUUUUUAGUGUAAGUGGGACGGCUUGAACCUGGGAUCUCUCACUUACUCUCCCCCCCCCCCCCCCCAAAAAAAAAUAAAUAAUGUCUCAUUUUCUGUUUAAUGCAGAUAUUGUUGAGGCCUCUUUCAAAGCAUUAAAAUGGAAUCAGGACCAAAGAGCACUUGUAUGCCUGGGUAAUCUUGCGUAUGUUUCAAGGCCUCAGAAAAUAACAUUUGCAAGAAGAUUCUCUUUUAGCAUAUGCAUAAGGAAAUCAAGGGUAGAGACACUUCAGCAAACUAUAGUUCCAAAUAAUUGGUCUUCAGGAACCCAAAGAGUUGCACAGGACAGGGAAUUAGUAUAAGAUUAAAUCAAACUGGUGGUACCUAUUCAAAUUUUGUCCAAUACGGUAGAUGUACUCAUCCUCCAUUACAUUAACAGAAGGUUUGUUUUCUGAAUAGAAGAGAAAAUGAAAAAGGUAAAUAAACAUUGGCAAGAAUGUCACAACAGUCACAUGAACUACUCAAUAAGUGCAGAUAGAAAACUACCCAACCAUGUUGAGUGCAGAUCGUCAAUCUGUGGAUAAUAAAGUUGGAACCUACAACUAGAAGCUUUGAUUUGGCUACAAAUUCAUGAUAUCCACACAUUAGUAGCUCCACAAGUAUUUGUGUUGACACAAAUUGUAGGAUACAAUUUCUACAGCAUGCCUUGCUAGUUUCUGAAAAGCCUAUGACCUACCCCUCAUUCUUGAGCUAUCUAUGACCAUCAAUAGAGUUCUUCUAUAUAAACCACCUCAUAGGUAACCAGUUUUCCACUCUGUUGUUUAACACCCUUAUACAGAACUUAACCCUAAAAAGUUAAACUAACUCAAAGAAAAUAGUUCUACACUAUCACUGCAAUUUACAAUAGAUAAAUAAAACAGAACAGGAACAUUCCCUACCACCCCAUCCCUUUUUGCACUCCACCAAUACUCAUCAGUCUACAACACAAAUUCCACCACCUAACCCAAACUACAAGUUAGAUCAUGGGAAGGUGAGAGCAAAAAUGACCUUCAAGAGUCCAAACAAAGCCACGCUGUUUCUCAUCAAAGCUAAUGUCAAUGGUGAUUGGAUCAUGGGAAGGUGAGAGCAAAAAUGACCUUCAAGAGUCCCAACAAAGCCACACUGUUUCUCAUCAAAGCUAAUGUCAAUGGUGAUUAUAUUAACAACAAGGGAUUGAUUUGGCAAUUUCUCAGUAGCCCGCUUUUGUAAAGAGCAUACAAUUAAUCCUGGGAUUCAAAAGAUUUCUAUUAGACUAACACAGCAUUGAUGUAUGAGUAGCUAAAGCAACAUAACUAAUGAUGUUUAAUUUUAAAAAAGUAUUAAGAAAAUUAAGAAACCUUUCACUGUGAUCAACCUGAGGCAUUUCGAGUGAAUGAAUAUACUGGAGACGCUUCCAUAAUUGGAAAUAUUUGACUGACAAGAGGUCCUAACUGCAUCAUAGCAUAAUACAACUUCAAAAAUGAGGAAUGUUACAAAAGCAAUAUUAGUUCUUUGAGAGGCAGGAGACAAAAUUUGACACGGAUUCUAAAGCAAGGGCUGAGAAACUGGAGCCCUACCAGUUGAACGAGUAUAGUAACAACUCAUCAUAUAAGCAUAUUUACAAUCAACUCCGCCUUGGUAUAUAAGAUUUAAAAUGAAAUUAAGGUUCAAAAACAUAUGACAAAAUUGAUCCACCAAAUCUCAAGGUAUAAUAUUUAUGCAAUAUCAAAAUAUAAAUUAAACAAACUAGAUAAAUGUUUAGAUCCAAAUUUCCAUAUAAUCCUCAAUGUUGAUUUGCUCGAGUUAAACCAUCACCAAGAUCAUGGAUAUGUUAACUAUAAUGUUGUUUACAUCGAUUCCCAUUUAUACUGAACUAAUUUGUAUUCUUGAAUGAACGGAAGACCGAUAUGACUUCACCCUUUGGAUGAAUAAUAAUUGGUGAACAGUUCAGUAUAAGGACAAAAUUACAACAAUCACAAAUGAACAAAAGUGCGUUAGUUGCUGUAGAAGCCAUCAGCAAGCAGAAGCAUAGAUACUAAAACUCCAAGCAGAAAGAUCUAGAAAUGAAGUGCAAAGUCAGUAAUAUGUACAGACAUACCAUUUCCACAAAUAUAUGCAAUCUACUAUGGACACUCUUUUAAUUUAUAAACUGCAUAUUACACUUUCUACUUCACAUUUUUUUCCCUUUAUUUUCUGAGUUGCUACCUUCAGUUACCAUUUGUCCUGUUUCACUUAUAAGAUUACCCAUUUUCUUGCUCCCUGUAACGUCACCAAUUAUUUCCUUUCCAAAAAAAAAAUCUUCACUUUACAUCAACUUCAUGGCAUAGCUGAAGCAAUAUAAGUUACUCACAACCCACCCAUUAUAUGAGCAUAUACUAUCUGACAUAUUAUAAAAAAUUUUCUUUGUUAAUUGACAGUCAUAGUAUGACAUUGAUGUGAUGGCACCUUUACAUUCCUUUAUGCAUUAGCUUUUUCAUGUUUGUUUUAACAUUUUCCAUCUUAUACAUAUUCCAAUGUAAAGGGAAUAGCAUGACAAUUAAGGAGAUUUUGAGGAUGAUAGGCAUGUGAUCCGACACAACGGGUCAUGUAUACAUCUUUCGACAACUAAGAUGUUACUAUCCAUAGGAUUAUUGAAGGAUUAGUAGAAUUGCACUUGAAAAAGGUAAUAAACUCAUGCCAUGGCAUGAUAAUGAAAGCAAUCUUAGUAGCUAAAGAGCCCUUCAUCCACCAAGUAUGCUCUCAGAAAUGGCAGCAGCUGGGUAAACGUCAAAUAUCUACAGGACAUGACUUUUACUUCACUGGUGGGGGAGGGCUUAGAGUGCAACGCUUCACCAGCAUCUACACUCACAAAUCGUAGAGUUCCCAGAACUCAGACAAACUACAUCAGUCAGUUGUAUCGCUAUCAUAGAUCCUCAAUAGAAACCACGAUUCUUUUAAAUUUACCCUAUAUAUUGGUUUGAAGAUUCAGAGAGGCAAUGAAAGAAUAGGCUGUUUACCUCGUGAAAUUUGAGCAGAAAUUAGAUUUAAGAAGUAGAGGUUAAUUAGAGAUUAGGAGAGGUAAAGGGCAAAAGAAAGGAAGGAAGGAAAGAUGACUACUAAGACUUCACAGGUAAGAGACUAAGAGGGGUUUCGUUCUGAAACUUUCUUGAUUCAAACUCACCCUCAUUUACAAAAACUAAUGCAAGCUAUUAAAAAAGUCUAACACAGCAACCUAAAAGCUUUCUCAUGUAAAAAAAAAAAAGCAGCCAUUCAAGAGUAGAGUCUGUGGCAAUUGUUGUCCACUACAAUAGUAGCUAUGUAGGAUGACCAUUGAACUCCCAACCAUGGGUGGUCUUUGAAAGUCCACCCAUGCCUACCCAUUGGACUUCCAAUCAUGCUUUACCCUUGGACUUCCACUACUAGUUUCAAGUACAGUAUCAUUAUCAGGCAGCCAACUACUUACCAACAAAAGUUGCAGCAACAAGCUCAACAGUUGCACACUGAAAAUUGGCAAAUGAACCACAAUCUGAAUCUUAAAUCAAUUCCAGAGCUAAAAGAUUGUGAAACUGAAGUUUUUUUUCCUUCGAUAUAUUGAUGUCUUUCAUGUCCUGCAUCACACUAGCUAAGCCGUGGCUACAAUUAUUUGAUCCACCCUAGAGCACCAUUACCUGCUUGGCAUAGUAUGCAGCAGCUCUUAUGUCACAUGGUCGGAACUAAGAGGGAAACAAAAUGCCCUAUAUACAAAUCGAAAAGGAUGAUUUUACAAACUAAUCUUAUUAUCCAUAGUAAAAAUGAUAUAUAUGAAAGGAUACCCAAAUCUAAGCAAAUUUGUCAGAUACCACUGAAAUGAAUCAAUUUGCAGGACUCAACUAGGUUGCAGGUGCAACACCAACUUCUACACUCACGAGUUGCUGCCAUCCUGUGCAUGAACUCAUAGAGACUAUUUCAGCAAGUGGCAUAACACAGAUGCAUCCUGACUCACUAAACAUUGUUUUGAACUACUCAAUCUACCCAUAGAAGUCCAUUCCCAGCUUCACAUAUUACAUAACAGCUCUUUAGUCAUUAUGAGCCAGCCAGGAAGAAUUGUAAUCCCCAAAGGUUUUUGGGCUCUUGAAGGGUGGCCUCCAAGAGUUCAUGGCCACAACUGUAUAAGAAAAGGAAAUCCCCAUCCAUGUUCCUUGGAAGCCAGUAAAAGCCAGAACUAGGAACAUGAAAGAAACUAAAGCAUAAACUGCAAAUUUUUCCUUCCCCAGGAGCAUUGCAUGAAUAGCCCAAGUUAUGGCAGUUAGAGAUGAAGGGGGCAAAAAGGGCAAUUUUCUUUCUUCUUUUUUUGUGUGAAGGAAUAAGGGUAAGUACUGUAAAUACUUAAAUAAAGAAAGACCUUUAGCGUUGAAAUAAAUAAAAAAAUAGCAAACAUCCAAUUUAAUAAAGAUUAAUUGCUCAACUUCAACAGCAAAAAAUGUUACAAGCCACCAUUUUUUAUUUUUGGAUAGUCAGGAUAACAGCUAAGCCCCUUAAAUUAGUAUUGGAACAGAAUUACCUGCUCAAAGUAUGGUACUGCCUCUGACGCUGGCCUGUUGUUGUAUGAUAUUAUUGCAUUUGCCUUCAUUGAGAGACAAGUAUAACCUUCAUUAAGUCAAAAAGUACUAAACACUGAACUACAGUGCAUUUUCACACAUUAAAGCUGCAAAAGCAUAACUUUUUAGCUAUAUCUUUCUUAUCUUAAUUAAGUUCAAUUUUGGUUAAGCACUUAUGAAACUUUGGAAGAAAGAAGGAACCUUGGGUAUCUUCUCACAAAAAUAACUUCCAGUAAGCACUUGUAGAAGUGCACCAUUGCUGCAAUUAUAGUUAAACCAAAUAACGUCAAGGAUAGUUUCGUGAUAAGAAUGAAAUAAAAGUUAGAUAAAUUAGAUAGCAUUUUAGGCAUGGUUAUCUAUAACGAAGUCUCAUCGGAAUGAAACUUAGGAGUACUAGCAAGGUUUUUAACCUUGAAGUAUUCUUCAUCACGCUCACCAUUUCAAAGUAAACGUUCCCAGCAUUUUGUUAAUUCAAUCAGUUACAAGUUCCUCCAAUCUAUCCAAGCCUAACUCGAUCAUCUUAUGUUCAAAAAACAAUUCAUUGGACAACUAUCCCAUGUUCAGCUCCAAAACAGCUUUACUGAACCUCUGCUAUGAUAAAAUGAAUGUUGCUAUGAAGGUUAGCAGCUCCAAUACACAUUGAUGUAAAGAUUCCUCAAGAAAAAAAGAGGACACGCCUAACAUCCUCAGGACAAAGUAUAUCAUUGAACAUACAAACUAACAUUAGACAACACAAUUAAGGCUUUAUGAAGUUUAAUUUGUGAUCAUUAAUGCUCAAUUAACCUCCACUCACCUAUGGCCAACCGAGUAAAGUGGAAGAUCAACAAUAUCAUCAGGUGAAAGGCCAUAUUCUGGCAAUUCAGACCCCAAAAUCAAAUCAAAGCCAGCAUGAAACCUCUCAUAAAUCUCCCUAGUUACUUUUUCAUGAUCAAAUGUCGCGUUAUAUGGCACCAAGAUAAUGAAAUAGCCUUCAUUUGCCAGUUGCUCAAGCAAAUAGCUGCCACCACAACAAAAACAACUAAUCAAACAAAACAGAUCAUAAGACUCUAUUAGCAUUUUAGUUUACAAUAGAAAAAAUUGAAUUAACAACCCUCUGUUCUGUAGUAAACAUCACCAGCGCAAUGUCAUCACAGUUUGAAUUUCAAUCAAGUACACCUUGUUUUUCCAGCGCAAUGUUUCCAUCUUCUUUUCCCGAGUUAAAAAAAAAUUACUUCAACCAGAGGAAAAAAUCUUCCAAUAAAAAAAAAUUAACGCUACAAGCAAAUUUAUUUUAGUUUCUGUGUUUCAAGAAUUAACUCAAGGAUUAAUCUAAUAUAGUGUGUUAAAACUGUAGUUGGACAAGCAAGUAGCCACAUAUAUUAAUCCAGAAAUUAAAUUAAAAUGUUCCAUCCCAGAAAUCUAACAGCACUUCAUCAAAAUAGCAAAAAAAAAAAAAAAGACAUGAAAAUUAUCAACUCUAAUAGUCAAGUUUGAAACAGAGAUAUUAACGACAGGCGAAUAUUGAUUGACCUGUAAGAAACUUCGGGGACAGCUCCAACAAAAGCACCUCCCAAAAAUUUAAUAAUGGCUUUGGGUUUUUUCCCUCUUGGAGGAGGAAUGACCAAACAAGACUCAAGCCUGUUGUAAAUUCUACCAUUAUGAUUCACAAAAGAAGUGUUCUUUGGAGCUAUUGGGUUUAACCAUAUUCAUUUGGGUCCUGCAAAUUGUCAUUUUUGAGGGUCUUGCGCAAUUCUCAGUAGGGAAAACCCCUCUGGAGAGAUAAUUGAGGAAAGGGCUUUCUUUAAAUUUGUUGAUUCUUGGAAAGUUGUUGAGAACAGAAGUGGUGCUAGCCACGGCGGCCAUGGCCGGCCUUCUUCACUCGGAGUCGGAGGUUCUAGUUGGGUGUUGGGAGGGGAAAUUUGGAGCUAAAAAUGUGAAGCGCGGGAGGCAGUACGUGGCAUUCUACUUGCGCCUCCUUUGUGUCAGCUACAUUUCCUAUUUAGAUUUGGAGUCUCCGUUUUAGUGGAUUUUGUGCAUUUGUUUGGUGAUAAUCGAGUAAUUGUCUAAUUUCUCCUCUUUUUUUUUUUUUUGGCCUUACGUGCAAUUUGUGUCUUUGAGUCCUUUUUUUUUUUUUGGUCAAAAAUCAUUUGUAUUGUAUUAGUGUAGUAAUCAUUUAUGUACGCAUGUACAAUUAAGAGACUACUGAUUGUAAAAUUUAGAUGUGUCUCUAUUUUAAGGUGCACACGAACUAUAUUUCGUAUUUAAGAUUGGCUAAAUUAUCUUUUUAUUCCCCUGUGGUUUGAUACUUUACCACAUAAUCCCCCUAUGGUUUAAUAAUCUAUAUAUAACCUCUUCAUGGUUUGAGUUAAAAUAUCACCGUUAAUUUUUUCGUUAAAACUAACGAUCAAUAGUAAAAAGUCAAAAUCAAACUAAUAAAUUAACAAAUUUAUGCUUUUAUUACUUCUUUUUUCCCUCCAAACGUAAAAAAGAAGAAAUUGAAAUAAAAACUACAUACAUAAGAACUGGAAAAUACCAUUAAAAUUUUGAUUUGAAAACCUAUAAUGAUAUUUGUAGUAAAAAAAAUUGGUAUUUUUGUUUCUUAUUUAUUUGUUUUAUAUUUCGCUUCCAUCUUUUUUGUUUCUUAUUUAUUUAUUUAUUUAUUUCCCUUCCAUUUGUUUUGUAAUUGGAGAAAGUUAAUAUUUUGUAUUUUAAAUUAUAGAUUUUCAAAAUAAUCUCUUCUCUUCCCAAGAGAGAGAGAGAGAGAGAGAAGAAAAAGAAAAAAAGUAAUGAUAGGGUGAAUUUGUCAAUUUAUUAAUUUGACUUUGACUUUUUACUAUUAACUGUUAGUUUUAAUAGAAAACUAAUAGGGACACUUUAACUCAAACCAUAAGAGAAUUAUAUAUAGGUUUUAAACUAUAGGGGCUUAUGUGGUAAAGCCCAAACCAUAGAGGGUGAAAGGUAUUGAACCCUUUAAGAUUUGGUUUAGUAAUGGUAAAUCUUGUCAAACAGUUGCUAACAUGAUCAAGUUUUUUUUUUUUUUUUUGUGGGUCAAAAGUCAUUCGUAUUGUACCAUUGUAAUAAUCAUUUAUAUAAGCAUGUACACUCAUUUUAAGGCACAUAAAAAACUAUACUUCGCACAUAGGAUUUUGGUUUAGUUGAAUGGUAAAUUUUGUCAAACAAUUGCUAACAUGAUUUUCCUAUUUCUUUACAUAAAAAGAAAACUACACUUACGAAAACAGGUUUGCAGCUUCCAACUAUCUACAAUUUUUUUGGUUGAUCUUAUUUACUACUUGGGAUAAUUGCAGAAACCUCCCUUGACUUUUAUAGUAAUAGCAUUGACCUCCCCUAUCAAUUUUGAAAUAGCACUGAUCUCCCCUAUCAAAAGUUGGAGGCAAUUUAAUAGGUAAAAGUGGGUCAAUUUACUAAAGUACCCCUGACAUGAUUUAAUUUUACCAAAUGAAUGUGAUGAGUACUUUCAUCAAACCCAACAAAACAUUUGUUAAUAACAAUUACACUAAAUUAACUAUUUCUGCAUAGUUUAACUAAUUAACCAAUUAACUAAAUAACUAAUAAUCUAAUUAAUUAAUAACUAAUUAUCUAAUUAACUAAUUAACUAAUUAACUAAUUGUUAAUAGUUAUUAACUAAUCAAACUAUUUCUGCAUAAUUAAACUAAUUAACUAAUUAUCUAAUUAACUAUUAACUAAUUAACUAAUUAUCUAAUUAAUUAAUAAACUAAUUAACUAAUUUCUGUUUAUCCAAUUAACUUAUCUCUAUUUAUCUAAUUAACUAAUUAACUAAAGUUGUUGUCUGUCCGAAACUAAUAAAUUAUUUACAUGUUAAACUAAUUAACUAAUUAGCUGCUUAACUAAUUAACUACCUAAUUAUCUAAUUAACUAAUUAACUAAUUAUCUAAUUUAGUUGUCUAUCCGAAACUAACAAACUAUUUGCAUGUUAAGCUAAUUAACUACUUAACUACUUAACUAAUUAACUAAAGCUGUUGUUUAUCCUAAACUAACAAACUAUUUGCAUGUUAAACUAAUUAACUAAUUAACUGCUUAACUAAUUAACUAACUGAUUAUCCAAUUAAUUAAUUAACUAAUUUUUGUUUAUCUAAUUAACUAAUUAUCUAAUUAACUAAUUAACUAAAUCUGUUGUCUGUCCGAAACUAACAAACUAUUUGCAUGUUAAACUAAUUAACUAAUUAACUACUUAACUAAUUAAUUAUCUAAUUAUCUAAUUAAUUAAUUAACUAAUUAACUAAUUUCUGUUUAUCUAAUUAACUAAUUAACUAAAGCUAUUGUCUAUCCAAAACUAACAAACUAUUUGCAUGUUAAACUAAUUAACUAAUUAACUGCUUAACUAAUUAACUAACUAAUUAUCUAAUUAAUUAAUUAUCUAAUUAAUUAAUUAACUAAUUAACUAAAGCUAUUGUCUGUCUGAAACUAACAAACUAUUUGUAUGUUAAACUAAUUAACUAAUUAACUGCUUAACUAAAUAACUAAUUAAUUAGCUGACUAAUUAACAAACUAUUUGCAUGUUAAACUAUAUGCAGUACGCAUUACCUAUUUAAAGUAUCGGCUCUUUAUAGGUAUUUUACUUUCAAACAUUUAAUUUAUGAUAAAAAUAUCAAUGUUUGUAAGUAAAAUUCAAAAAGUGUUACAAAAAAUAUCAAUAUUCUUACUUUCAAACAUUUAAUUUAUGGCCCUAUGCCCCUCUCUUUUUGUAAGAAUAUUACUGUAACACUUUUGAAUUUUACUUACAAACAUUGAUGUUUGUAUCAUAAAUUAAAUGUUUGACAGUAAAAUACCCAUAAAGAGCCGAUACUUUAAAUAGGUAAUGCGUACUGCAUAUAGUUUAACAUGCAAAUAGUCUGUUAAUUAGUUAGUUAGUUAAUUAGUUGAUUAGUUAAGCAGUUAAUUAGUUAAUUAGUUUCACAUGCAAAUAGUUUGUUAGUUUCAGACAGACAACAGUUUUAGUUAAUUAGUUAAGCAGUUAAUUAGAUAAAUAGAAAUUAGUUAAUUAAUUGAUUAGAUAAUUACUUAAUUAGAUAAUUAGUUAAUUAGUUAAUAAUUAAUCAGAUAAUUAGUUAAUAGUUAAUUAGUUUAACUAUUAACAAAUUAGAUAAUUAGUUAAGCAAUUGUCAAGCAAGAAGAGGGCAAAAUUGGAAGAAAUUUCUUAUCUCACUUCUACAAAAGUUGUCAGGGAGGUUUCUGCAACGAAUUGUUACUGUUCAGGGGAGGUGAAUGCAAUUUCAAAACCUAGAGGGGAGGUCAGUGCAAAUGUCAGAAAUCUCAGGGGAGGUUUCUGCAAUUAUCCCUUACUACUUUUGAGAGCCAAUACUAAUUACUGCUAGCUCUUUUCAAUUGCCAGCAUCAUUGCCUCUAGUAUCGCUAAAGCAUCAGCAGUUUUGGCCUCACGCAUUCUUCGACUGGUAGUGCCCAAGUGACUUUGAGGAUUCCCAAUCCAUCUCUCAAUCUAAUUCACAAACCAACUAUACUUUUGAUGCUGUCUGUGUUUUUAACAGUCAAAAUCUUUUGCUGGUCACUUAAAGAAUUAGCACAAGCUGCUUGUACAUUGCUAGGAUUGCUUCUUCUGUGGUUCUCCCUUGCCUGUUUACCUUUAGGAAUCCCCCCCCUCCCCACCCAAUCUUCUGUGGCUUUCCUGGAAAUCCAGAAUCUAGUUUGCUCAUUAUCAUUGAAGCAACUUUCGUUCCUACCGUUGUGUGUUGGCCACAGCAGAUUCAGAGUCAAUGCAAUAUGCCUCCUUCCUUUUAUUCCUUUUGACUACUUCCUAAAGUUGGAUCCACCGUACUUGGAAGUUCCAUGCAUGACUGCUAAUCCAUCCCAUUGUACAAAGACUGCAUUCCUUGCAUCUUGAACAGAAAUGCAGGAGAAGAACAUGUGUUCUAUUGUUUCAAUGUCCUCACCAGUCACCACACUUCUUGCAUAUAGAAUUGCCUUUAACCAUUCUUUUUUGCUUUUUUGCAGAACUUCAUUUGCGGGGAAUAUAUGGUUCAGACACUUCCAUAUGAAAUGUUUGAUUUUGUGUUGAUAUCAAGUCCCCAUAUAUUUUUCCACAAUCCUGCCAUUAAACUAUUACUGCUAGGCUUACUCCCAUCAGUCUUGUCAUUAUCCUCCAUCUGAUUCUUUGACUUUUCCUGGGAAUACCCAGAGAUCACCAUUUAAACCCCUGUAGAGUUGUGAACCUAUCUUAAUCUUAUCCUUGCCACUAAAAAGAUUUGAGGGGGUAACUCAAAAUUGAUCUGCAAUCCUCUAGAGAGAAUAAAGAUUGAAUUAAUUUUUUAUUCCAUUCUUCAGCCAAACAAUCAAUUGAUUCACUGUGUUUAUUUCACAGAGACUUGGCUUUGCAACUGAUAACUUCCCAGUUUUGGUUUGUGGUAUCAAUCUAUCUUCCCAAAUUUUGAUACUUCUCCCAUCACCUAUAAUUCUCCAUGUCCCUUCUUCUAUCAAUUUGAUAGCACUUUAUAUGUUCUACCAUAUCCGUGAUACUCUUAGGAAUGCAUUAGGCCUUCAGAAUUGAGGUUGUGGGAAAGUACUCUUUCAUUAUUUUGCUAACCAACAACUUUGGAGUAGUGAGAACUCUCCAUUACUUGUUUGGCUAGCAAAAUAGAAUUAAAUUGUUGCAAGUCCCUGAAUCCCAAUCAUCCUUUGCCUUUGACUUCUGUGAUUUUCUUCAAUUGAUCCAAUGAAUCUUCUUGUCACCCUAAUCACUGCCCUACUAAAGCUUGGCCAUAUAUAAGCACAGGUCUUUACAAAUACCUUUUGACAUCUUGAACACUGACAUAGCAUUAUUCAGCAUGAUCAUCGCAACUGAUUUCAACAACACUUCUUUCCCAUCUCGGCCUAGCAUCUUCCCUUUCCAUUCGAGCAGUUUUCCUUUAAUGUAUCCCAAAACCUGAUUCUUUGAUCUUCCAAUCACCAAUGGUUGUCCUAGAUAUUUUCCUUGAUGCACUCUUUGAAUUCCUCCCAAUUGUUGUAGCAGCUCAUAAGCUUGGCUGUUCUUUGUAUUCUGGCUGAAAACAAAAGUUGAUUUCUUAUCCUGAUGCUUUUUCAAGUAGUUGAGAAUUCUCCUAAUCUCCCUUGCAUCCUUUUUUGAAGCUUUGCAAGAGACUAAGGAAUCAUUAGUGAAGAAUAAGUGGGACAGUUUUUGUCCUUUCCUUGAAAUUAUGAGCCCUGUUAUUUUCUUUCGUUCACUUGCAUGCUUGAACAAACUAGUAAAUCCCUCAGUACAAAUGAGAAAUAGAUAUGGGGAGAGGAUCCCUUGCCUGAUUCCUCUUGAAGGCACAAGAGAUCAAAGUGGCAGAGAGAAAGGAAAGGAAUGUGUGAUUCCUCUUUAAGGGAGAGGACACAACCAAGUUUAUCACUAUCAAUAUUAAAGGAAUAAGACACAGAAUUCGGGCAAUUCAUAAUCCAUAAAAUCCAAACAAAGUCCCGCCUUUUUUUUGGAUAAAAAGAAAUUAAUAGUUUUCAAAAAAAAAAAAAAGGAAUGGAUAUCGACUUUAAAAAUUAAAACAGGACUUAAAAUUGUGACUAUUUCGGCCUAAAAGACAUUCUAAAAAAAAUUUUUUGAAAAAAAAAAAGGUAAAUUGCUACUUGAUAUUGGUUUUAUGUAUCAAGCCACCAAAAGGUUUCUGAAAAAAAAUGAGAAAAACUUUUUUAAAUGGCUAGAUCUUUAAAAAUAAGAGAAAAAUGUUGGGGAGUCAUAGUUGGUGAAAGAGAAAACAAAGAUUUGAUUGGCUCGAAACUAAAGGUGCGUUUGAUAAAACUGAAUUUGAAAUCUAAAAUCUUAAGUUUAAAUAUAUUAAAUUAUUGAAUUGUUAAGUAUUAAAUCUAAUACAUGGAGUACAUAUCAUAUCCAGUGAUAAGGGAAUAGCUUAUCACCUAAUUUUAGAAACAAGUUUUGUUUAGAAAAUUUAGUGCCACUUAAUUAAUUCAGAUGUUCAAUUUUUUAUUAUCAAAUAAUCUAAAUAUAUUAAAAUCUAAUUCCAUUAAAUUUAAGUGCUGAAUUGGGUUAUCAAACAGGUCCUAAGACAUAUUUUCAACAUAAUCUAAAUUAGUUGCAAGAUUUAAUCAAAAUUUUCUAAUAUAACUCUCCAACCUAUCACAUUUGGACGUUUUCUGUAUGAAUGCAAAACCUUAAACUUCGGGGAUAUCGAAAGGGAUAAAAUUUUCAUCUAAGAUCUAAUUGCUACCAAUGCAUGAAUUGGGAAGCCCAAAAUAAUCCUUUGAAGGUAUUGUGAGUAAUGCAAAAUAAGACUUGAAGAAAAGAAUUAUUAGAACUUCCAAGUUUAGGUACAAGUGGAUAAGGAAAGGGGAAUACAACAAAUAAUAAUUAUUCAUACUCAACUUACCAUAAUAACUUUAAGUCCAAGGAUCACUUACAUAAAAUGUAAUUUAGAGAUUAAUUCUUUUGGCAUAAAAGAAAUCUUUAUGUGAAUUAAUCUAGUAAAUUUGACCAUACUGUCAAAUACCCAGAUACUAGUUUAGAUGUUUCGCAGCAUAGUAGAUGAGGUCAACUACUUUCCUAAUAGAAGUAACAUAGUAUAUACUAGUCUAACCAUAUUAACAAUGUCCAAUUCUUGUUAAUGCUUAAACUAGAGAUAUUCAAGAAUAAAUUUUACACUUAAUCAAAUGAACCUCACCAUCAUAACACUUGUGAUUUCAUUGACUAAGUUUAUUCUAGGACUUUAUCAUACAAGUAUAAACAUACAUGUAAUCAGUAUGAUAAAGAUGUCAUUUAUUAAUGCAUAAAUAGUUUAAGUACAUAUAAAAUCUCUAAAAGUGAUUAUCAUUAGGGCGUACAUACUUUCAUUUUCUUAUAAGGAUGUGUUUCCUCAUAUUUCAUCCUUAAGUUUCUCACUAAGUUUUGACAAUUCUUUUGCAGAGAUGUUUUCAUAAUGAUUUUUUCAGGGUUUAUGUUGCAUGCAAUUUUUAGUUGCGAGUGGACUCAAAACCCGAUACUCCCAACACAAGUCUCAAAUCCUUACCAAUUGAGUCACGUGAAUAUAUGAAUAUUAUUUAUGAAUAUUAUCUUAAUAAUCAAAGUUCAUUUAAAACUUUCUCACUCAUCACUAAAAAAUGUGGAUGCCUCCCCAUUUUAGUCUUUCAGGUGUCAUUAGCAAGAUAGAUAUGUCCAAUGUAAAUAUUUCUAACCAUUCAAUGCCUAUCUCACAACUAGGGAAAAUUGCUAAAAUAUAGGAUAAGCAUAGGAUGUCAAUGUUACCUUGGCUAGAUAAUUAGGUAGUUAGAAUAAAAUCAAAGUUUAGGAGAUUCUAUAACUUUCAAAUUUAUAGCAUCUGCAAUCUUGGUAUUUUCCAUUAGAGGAUAUUUUGAUUGUAGUUCUAUAUUCUAGGAUUUUCCACAUAUAUAGGUAUGCAUAUUUUUUUUUUAAAUUUUUUUUCUGAUUACAAUUAUGUAGGGGUAAAAUUUUCCUUCAAGACUGAUUUGAUGAUAUCGCAUUAUAUCCAUAGCAUAUUUAAUUAAAUAAAAAAUGGAUAUUGAGGAGGUGAUUUUUGGUUGGUAACUAGACCGACCUGGAUCAGUCCUCUCUGGGAUGAAGUGAGGUGAACUCCUGUGUCCGAAGUGAACCUCCUCGUCCGAAGUGAGUGGCGGGGCUUCUCCCCUGGUAUCACUCCGACGAUCAAGUUAGUAUGAGAACGAGAAUAAUGAGAAUGAGUUAAUGAACAGUGUGCUUACUUGGUGGGAGUAUGAGUGAGGUAUUUAUAGGAGAGUAGAGGACAGAGCGGAGGGCUUACGCUGGUGGGACCCACCCUCUGGUCAUUACGGCUCUGUCCCGUGUCAGGAGGUCUGACUCUGACACUGUAGCUGUCUUGGGUAUGAUGACGGGGAGUAUUGUGUAGGUGCCAUUAAGUGCCUCCAGUGCUUUUCAGGUAAAGCACUGGUCCUGGGUGAUGUCAGAUGGUUCGACAUCAUCAGCGUGCAGCUGAGGCGGGGGUGCCGAGGUCGGCUACACAGUAUGCUAUGGAAACGGCCGAGGCCGAGCUCAGGGAUGAUGUCCGGGACACGGAUGAGCUCCGAUGAGGGACGAGGUGAGUCCACCUCGGCCACUCGGGAUGGCCGAGGUGAGCAUCCUCAAUAAGCCCCCCAAGCCUCGGAUGCUCCGAGCAAGGGAGGUGCCGAGGCUUCCUAGUGCUGAAGUCAUGAAGAGUCGAGGCUCCGAAACCGCUCCGGAAGAUGCGGGGACUCGACACGUGGACGAGUCAGUUGAUAGGACGUGGUCACUGAUAACCGUCGCGUCGUGAAGUAGUGGGACGUUUCGUGCAGAAGGUGUCAGUCGAAAGGACGGGGCAUUAAUGAGGAGAGAGGGAGGCGUGACGUUUUGAAUUCGAUCGUGAUCGUCUUUUCGUAUUCUUGCCGCCUCUUCGGAUUCUGGCUCUCCUCUAUAAAUAGGUGGUCCCUUUCACCGCAUGGCCCAUCACUUUCUUUCUUCGCUUGUGACUUGCAAAAUUUGUGAGCGUAGCCGAGAUCAAUCCUGCCAGCCGAGAUCACAGCCGAAGUCGUCCACUUCGUCCAGUUCGGUAUACAAUAGUAAGUAUCCCUUUUUCUUCUUGUCUUGUCUUUCACAUAUGGCCAAAACGGCUAAAACCCACAAAGAAACCGUGACCCCGAGCUACCAGACCGAGAUGAGGGCGGAUUCUGAGGAAGAAGCGACGACGUCCAGUUCGGAGGGGUCGGCACAGGGUUCCGAGGAAGGAUCGACCGAAGUGAGAGUCGGCGAGGCAGGCUCGGGAUUGGAAUCGUCCGAGAUGAGCGAGGGUGGUUCCGAGGUCGAGUACAAUACCAAGCUCGGGACCGAGAUACCCCAUGACGAGGGCGUGCCGGAGCCAGUUGCUCCAGUGGACGUAGCCAACAUCAAUUUCGGCCAGAUGCCGAAAUUUAGGAGUCGAGUGGGAAGGGAUAGGGCCGAGAAGGUGGUAAACAAGUACCCCUUCCGGCCGUGGUAUGAAGUUUUGCCGCCCGAGGUGGAUGACACAGCCGCGGAACCCCCCUUCGGCAUGGUGGCCGUCUACAUUCAACAGCUGGAGGCCGGACUGAGGAUGCCGACGUCGAGGUUCCUCCGGGACUUACUUCGUCACUUCCAGGUGAGAAUCACCCAACUCACCCCGAAUGCGAUCCGCAUCAUUGUGGGGUUUGAGAUGCUGUGCCGACAUCAGGAGGUGACUCCCUCCGUCGAUCUCUUCCGCCGAUGCUACACCCUCAAGGCGCACGCGACUGAUAAGGGAUGGUUUUAUGUUGGCAACCGGAACAAUGCCAUCCCGAAGUUGGUGAUCGGUGCUCCCAGCUCGAUCAAGAACUGGAAGCGCGACUACUUCUUCGUGCCCGGAGUGGACUUUCCGAGGGGUUUUUGGUGGAGGCCAAUUAAGGCGAAGGCCGACCCCUCAGCGGGGGAUGCCGAAGAGGAGUCCUUCCAGAAGCUGAUGAAGUCGGGACUUCGGCUAUUCAGCCAUGACUACCCCGAAGCCGUGCUCGUGGAUGGGGGGAUAAGUCGAGCCGUGAUCAAUACUACCAAAGCUCCCUUCUUUUCCACUGAACUUGAGAAGCCUUGUAAUUUUCUUUCAUGACUUUUCUUUUCACUUCGGCUAAGGCAUAUGAUAAUAUUUAUUUCUUGUGCAGUGACUAAACUGUCUGACCUCGUCGUCUCCGGCUCGUCCGAAGUGGCCAAGAGGCAGAAGAGGAAAAGUUCGGACGAGACGUCGGCGCCUCCGCCAAAGAAGAAGUCACAAGGACCAGCCGCUAAGACUUCAGCGCCCAAAGGCACUUCCACCAAGGCUGGCCAGAGCAGCUCGGCCACUACGGCUACUGGGUCCACCUCGUCUGCGCCAGAGGGAGUUCCCCUUGGAGUUGUUAAAAUAGUCACACCUCCUUCUGGCCGAGGUAAGCAGCUGAAGCCUCCGAUUAAUCCGGUGUCGGGGACCUCGCUAUGGAAUCGUUUCCAUAGCCCCCCAGUGUUUUCCGGAGACGAGAAGACGCACUCCGGCAAUCAUUGGUGUCCGAACUGGAAGAUUUCGGUCAACGACAGGUGCCAACACCCUCGGGUCGCUCAGGAGCUAAUAAUGCACUCCAUUCUGCCAAGGGAUUUGGAGUUCAUGAAGAAGCUGAGCCCGGCCGAGCUGGUUCAAAGUCUGAUGGUGACCACGGCUUCCACCUCAGCCUUCGCGGCCGAGAUGGCACACCGAUAUUGUGCUCUGGUCGAUGAGCAGGACACCGGCAAGCUACAGAAUCAGAUCUCCAAGUUGGAGAAACAACUGGCGGUGUCCGAGUCUGAGAAGGCCGAGCUUGAAAGGCGGCUUAAGGAGGCCGAGGUGAAGGAUGAGGAGGCCGUGGCUACUGUCAACAGUCUCAGAUCGGCUCUCGAAGAAGAGCAGAAGAGGGGGGACGAGGCGAAGAAGUCCCACCAGCAAGCCCUUGACAGUGCUGGAGCCUCGGCGGUGGACGAAUUCCGGAGGUCUGAGGCCUUCACCAGGGAUCUCGGCCAACUGCUCACGCCGAACUUCAUGUUUGGCUUCACAUCAGCCAUAGACGAGGCUGCAGCUCAUCUCGCUCCCGAAGCCUUGGAGUCUCUGAAAAAUCAUACCAGUUACAACGAGGACUCCAAGGAGUUGUGCGACCGGAUGGCUGAGGGCCUCCAGGCUGGAAGGGACCUGGCCGAGGUCCAGGCCGAGUUCAACAAAUGGCUGUCCGAAAUCGACGAAGUGUUCGAGGGGGUUGAAGAGGAAGAAACUGGAGAGGAUGCCGGGGGAGACGAAGCCGGAGGGGACGUCGGCAAAGAGCCUGGAGAUGAAGUUCACCCCGGCGGAAAGGAGGCCGAAGAGAUGGAUGCCCAGGAGGGAGCCAAGACCGGGGAUGCAGCCGAUACGGGGGUUUAGGCUUGUAGGCUUCAAGGGGGUGGCCGAGGUGAGGUGCUUAGUAGCACUCCGACCUCGGGCUUGUAUUUUUUGUAAUACUUCCGUUGAAUGAAAGUCUGUUUCUUUUCAUCUCAGCUCUUUAAUUCCUUGUUUCUUGCUUUGACUUCAUCCCUUGUUUGUCCCCCUUAUUUUUUAAUAAAGGGUGCUGGGUAUCAUAUUGUUGAAAAAUAACUAAAUGGCUGAAACCAUAACUUGACAAGGUAAUUGGAUGAAAUAACUGAAUGAAGUCACAACUUCAAGCAUAAUACAACCUAAGGUUCUCGGCGUGCCAAGACCUCGGCACAAAUGAGCCAUCGCGGUAACUCAAUUUACAAUACCCUUUAGGGUCAGAUUCCACAACUCGGUAAGGGCCUUCCCAUUUCGGGCACAGUUUUCCUUGAGGUUCAGCUCGGCUGACUGAAUUUUUUCUGAGAACCAAGUCUCCCGGACGGAAUUUACGAUGUCUGACACGGGCAUUGUAAUAGCGUGCCCGUGUGUUCUUGUAUGAAACUAUCCGGGCUGAGGCGAGGUCCCUUCGUUCUUCGACGAGGUCGAGAUCCAGCUGCCUCUCUUCGUCGUUCACCUCGGCGACAUAGGCUGCCAGCCGAGGGUUGGGAGUGAGGAUCUCAGCCGGGAUGACAGCUUCGGCGCCAUAGGUCAGGGAGAAUGGGGUCUCUUGUGUCGCUGACCUCGGCGUGGUCCGAUAUGACCACAAGACACUGGGGAGUUCCUCCACCCAAGAUGACCCAGCUUGGUGUAAUCGGGUCUUGAGACCAUGCAGGAGAGUCCGGUUGAAGUUUUCUGCUUGACCAUUGGCCUGGGGGUGGCCAACCGAAGUGAAGUGUUGCUUGAUGCCGAGGUUCUCGCACCAGGUCUUGAAUGGAUUCUCGGCAAAUUGUCUCCCAUUGUCCGAGAUGAUGAUCUGAGGUAUGCCGAAGCGGCAGACAAUGCACUUCCAAAAGAAUUUUUGAAUGGCCAGCCCCGAGAUGGUCCGAAGUGGCUCGGCCUCGACCCACUUAGUGAAGUAGUCCACAGCAGUCACAAGGAAGGUAUAGCCCCCGACCGCUUUAGGGAAAGGACCUAUGAUAUCUGUCCCCCAUUGCUCGAAUGGCCAAGGUGAAGUGAUGGGGACCAUGAAAUUUGAGGGCUGGUGAUGCUCGGGUGCAUGGACUUGGCAGGAAGGACAGCCGAGAACGAGGUCCUGGGCGUCUUGCCGAAGUGAUGGCCAGAAGUAUCCAAGGAGCAUAGUCUUCUUGGCUAACAUCCUGUGGCCGACAUGAGCUCCGCACAGGCCUUCGUGGAUCUUGUGGAGGAUAUGACGUCCGGCCUCGGGAGUGACACACCUCAGCCAGGGGCCGAGGUAAGAGCGUUUGUACAAUUCUCCAUCGCGGAGAGCGUGUCGAGCAGCCUUGCGUUGUAUCUUCCUUGCCUCGGCUCGGUCUUCGGGAAGGGUUCCCUGACUCAGGAAGAGGAUGAUCGGGGUCAUCCAAUUAUCUUCGGAGUGGACGGGGCAGGCCACCUCUUCCACAUAUGCUGGUUCAUUCAGAACUUCCACUAAGACCGUCUUGUUGAGGUCCGAGAAUGAAGUGGAGGCCAGCCGGGAUAGGGCGUCGGCUCGCUUAUUCUGGGACCGGGGGAUUCUUUGGAUUUCGAAUGACUUGAAGUAUGCGGUGAGUUGGUGAACUUUGGAGAGGUACCUUUGCAUGGUCUCAUCCUUAGCCUCGUAUUCACCAAGAACUUGGCGCACAACAAGUUGGGAGUCACUGCGGACGUGGACUUGCUGGGUGCCGAGCCUUCGGGCCAACUGGAGUCCAGCAAUUAAGGCCUCGUACUCGGCUUCAUUAUUGGUGGCUGGGAAGCCAAAGCGGAGGGCGUAGGAGCACACCUCUCCCUGAGGUCCUUCCAGGAGAAGUCCGGCUCCGCUGCCUUCUCCGUUGGAGGAUCCAUCGACAUACAAUGUCCACUGGGGUGAGGAGGACACCUCGGCUAAGGCUGAGGUGGACUCCGGACCUUCCGUGAAGGUGAGCUCGGCAAGGAAGUCAGCCAAAGCUUGAGCUUUUAUGGCGGUGCGUGGCUCGUAGGACAAGUCAUAUUCUCCCAAUUCGACAGCCCACUUGGUGAGGCGACCAGAAGCUUCGGGUCGCACCAAUAUUUGCCGAACGGGCUGGUCAGUCCUGACCGAGAUAGGAUGGGCUAAGAAAUAGGGCUUCAACCGCCGAGCGGCAUGGACUAGUCCCAGCACCAGUUUCUCCACCUGAGUGUAUCGAGUCUCCGGCCCGCGAAGAGCGCGGCUGACGUAGUAGAUCGGCACUUGGGUGCCCUCAUCUCGGAUGAGCACAGCGCUGACAGCCUCGUCGGCUGCAGAGAGGUAGAGGUAGAGCUUCUCCUCGGGCCGAGGUGAAGCGAGAGUGGGCAGGUGGUGCAAGUACUGCUUCAGCUGGUCGAAGGCAGACUGACACUCCUCAGUCCAGGCGAACUGAUCAGACUUCUUCAGCACUUUAAAGAAGGGCAGGGCCUUCUCAGCAGAUUGAGACAAAAAGCGGUUCAGUGCGGCCAGGCGUCCAUUCAGUCUUUGGACUUCUCGGAGGUUCCGAGGUGGGGACAUAUCUUGGAUGGCCUUGACUUUGUCGGGGUUGGCCUCGAUCCCCCGAUGGGAAACCAGAUACCCCAAGAAUUUUCCCGAGGUGACGCCGAAGACGCACUUCUUGGGAUUCAGCUUCAUCCUCGAGUCUCGCAGGACCCCGAAGACUUCCCUCAAGUCUAACAGGAAAGAUGAAGUGGCGAGACUUUUGACGAGGAUGUCAUCCACGUAAGCCUCCACAUUACGGCCGAUCUGAUUCUUGAAGAGCCGGUUGAUCAGCCUUUGGUAGGUCGCCCCGGCGUUCUUCAGCCCAAACGGCAUGGUGGUGUAGCAAUAAACACCUCGAUCGGUGUAGAACGCCGUCUUCUCUUGGUCCUCUUCACUCAUUCCUAUUUGAUGAUACCCUUUGAAGGCAUCUAGGAAGCACAGGAUCUCGUACCCCAUCGCCGAGUCGACGAGGGUGUCUAUCCUCGGGAGGGGAUAGCAGUCUUUGGGACAGGCCUUGUUGAGGUCGGUGUAGUCUACACACAUUCUCCAUCCGCCGGUGUCCUUUCUGACCAUGACUGGGUUGGACAACCAAGUCGGAUAUUGGACUUCGUGGAUCAUCUUGGCCGGCAAGAGCUUGUCGACCUCGUCCGAUAUGGCCUUGCUGCGUUCGGGGCCGAAGUGUCUUCGCUUCUGCCGCACAGGUCGGGCCUGUGGGUUAACGUUAAGUUGGUGAGUCAUAAGCUCGGGUGGCACUCCGACCACUUCAUCUGCGGACCACGCAAAGAUGUCUCGGUGGUCCUUGAUCAGGGAGAUCACUUCUUCUUUCAGGGGUGAAGGGAGUCCGGCCCCUACUUGGACCACUCGGUCAGGCUUGGCUUCAUCCAAGACCACUUGUUCCACUUCAUCCCCUGGCUCAAGCCUGCUGGGCUCUCCUGCCUUGUGAGGGUCGAUGCAGUCUAUGGAGAGGACAGCCGGCCUCUUUUCUUCUGACCUCGGCGGGGGCUGAGGUCCGACUGCGGCUUGGAUGGUGGCGAGGUAGCAUUCUCGGGCGGCGCCCACGUCACUGCUCACCUCAGCCACCCCCUCUGGUGUUGGAAAUUUGAAGCUUAGGUGGUAGGUAGAAUAUACGGCUCUCAAGGCAUUGAGCGUGGGCCGGCCUAUCAGCAUGUUGUAAGGAGAGUCCGCUUUGACCACCGCAAAGCUGACAGGCACAGUUCGGCAACGGGGAUGACGCCCGAUAGUCACCAUUAAAUUCACCAUGCCUUCCGGGUGGACGACGUGUCCCCCGAAGCCGACAAGGGGAGUUCUGACCGGAGUGAGUUGUUCCCGGGUUAGCUUCAAGCUCUCGAAAGUUCGGUAGUACAGGACGUCUACCGAGCUUCCGGGGUCAACGUAGACCUUCUUGACUAUAUAAUUGUUUGUGAGGACCUCAAUCACGAGGGCCUCGUGAUUGCUGGAGGCAGCGGGGACAGGGUCGCGGGGACCAUAAGUUAUGACCUCGGACAGCCUCGAGCUCGGCUCGGCCACAUCCAUGCCGGCUUGGCGGUAGGUCCGCUUUCGGGAGCUCUGGCUGUCUCCUCCCGUGGGACCACCUGAGAUGGUGUUGAUCACCCCGGCAAUGUUUGGACCAUAGCCUGGUGACCCGUCGCGUGGAGGCCUUUGGUCCCCUUUCUGGUCCUCAGGACCUCGGCAGUUGAACUUGGUGUCCCGCCUGUCUUCUCGGCGAGGACCUCGGCUCUCCCGGUGGGAGGCACUUCGUCCGAAGCUUCCAUCUUUGCGGACAAAUUGUUUCAAGUGUCCUUGCCGAAUUAGAUUUUCGAUCUCUCGUUUCAGAUCGUUGCAGUCUUCGGUCUCGUGCCCAACAUCUCGAUGGUAGGCACAGUAGAGGCUGGAGUUCCUCCUAUCUCUUCUUCCAGGGAUCUCAGGAGGUGUUCGGCCGAGGUGGUUCUGCCUCAUCACAGCCAAGACAUGAGAUCGGCUGGAAUUGAGCGGUGUUAGCUCAGCGUCCGAGGUGGAAGAUCUUCCUUUCACGAUCCGGUCAAAGACACUCCGGCGGUCCCGUGGUGGGUUUGAAGUGCCACUUGGGCCGGGUUCACCUCGGCCGAUGUCUUUCCUUCUCCGGGCAUCUUGUCCCGUACGAGAGGCUUGGGCUUCUCGCUUCAUGCGAUUCACAUCUUCACUUCGGAUUCCCUGGUCCACUCUUUCCCAGAGUUCGUGAAGUGUACGAGGGUAAUCCCGAUGGAUUUCGGUGUUGAAGAGUCCGGCCACCAACCCGUUGGUAAAGGCCGCGAGAGUUACCUGCUCGUUCUGAUCAGGUAUUUGCACAUUCUCCUCGUUGAACCUCUGAGCAUACGAGCGAAGAGACUCGCCCUGACCCUGUUGAAGGUUCAAGAGAUAAGCUGAAGUCUUCGUGAUUGGUCGAGACGACACGAAGCGGUGGAUGAACCGGUCUAUCAGCUCAUCCAGGGAGGAAAUGCUCCCUGGUUCCAAACUCCAGAACCACUUCCGGGCAGUCCCAUGUAGGAAAAUGGGGAAAGCCCGACAAAUCACGGCGUCGGGGACGCAGUAGAGUCGGAAUGCGGAGAUGAAGGCGCGGAGGUGAUCCUCGGGGUCACCUCGGCCGUCAUAGGUGUGCAAGUUUGGAAGCUUGAAGUUCGGGGGCACCCUUUCCCCAUUGAUGUCAUCCGUAAAGGGCGGGGCCCUCAUGUAGUCCGAAGCUAGGCCCCCGGGGCGCCGAGGUGGGUCCUCGGCCCGUUUCCCUAGGAGUCCUCGAGAAAACGCUCGGGAGAUGGAGGCAAUUUUAGAGGUCGCCUUGGAGGAGGCACGCCUGGAGGUACUCCGAGAGAGACGCCCCUCAUCGGAGUCUUCAUCUGAAGGUGCCUCAGGGGACUUCGUCGGCCUCCUCUUGGAAGAUUCGGCUUUUUCUUUCCCCUGUCUUUUGAGGUACCUUCCUAGCUCCUCAAAAAUGGUAGGGUUGUGUGAUACAAACUCAGCCAUCUUGGCGAUGGCCUCCUCGUUGUCAGGCUGGGUCCUCGGGGACCCUUGCUCUUCAGAGAUGCGAUCUUGCUGGGCUCCCGAGGUCUGCCCAGCCCCAGUUGAGGGAACUCGACCACUUCUGGAGCGCGUGGAUCUCAUUUUAGUAACAGUAGUCUCGUUCCCACAGACGGCGCCAAUUGAGGAGGUGAUUUUUGGUUGGUAACUAGACCGACCUGGAUCAGUCCUCUCUGGGAUGAAGUGAGGUGAACUCCUGUGUCCGAAGUGAACCUCCUCGUCCGAAGUGAGUGGCGGGGCUUCUCCCCUGGUAUCACUCCGACGAUCAAGUUAGUAUGAGAACGAGAAUAAUGAGAAUGAGUUAAUGAACAGUGUGCUUACUUGGUGGGAGUAUGAGUGAGGUAUUUAUAGGAGAGUAGAGGACAGAGCGGAGGGCUUACGCUGGUGGGACCCACCCUCUGGUCAUUACGGCUCUGUCCCGUGUCAGGAGGUCUGACUCUGACACUGUAGCUGUCUUGGGCAUGAUGACGGGGAGUAUUGUGUAGGUGCCAUUAAGUGCCUCCAGUGCUUUUCAGGUAAAGCACUGGUCCUGGGUGAUGUCAGAUGGUUCGACAUCAUCAGCGUGCAGCUGAGGCGGGGGUGCCGAGGUCGGCUACACAGUAUGCUAUGGAAACGGCCGAGGCCGAGCUCAGGGAUGAUGUCCGGGACACGGAUGAGCUCCGAUGAGAGACGAGGUGAGUCCACCUCGGCCACUCGGGAUGGCCGAGGUGAGCAUCCUCAGAUAUAUUGCAAGAUAUUAUAUGUAGGCAUACUUUACAAUUUUUUAUGAAAGUAUGACAAAAGGUUCAUCACAAAAAUACAAGCUUGGCAAAAUUAAGCAUACGAGUUUAAAUGUGAAUAGUAUGAGUACAUUUAAAAGUUGUGAAACUAAAAAUAUAGAUAAAAUUACUAAAAUUUCUGUGAUUACAUUACAUUCAUACUAAUUUUAACUCUUAUUUUUGCAUAUGAGAUAUUAAAUUUAUUACAAAUUUAUAACCUUAUUGAUUUUAUAUGUGUGUGUAAAUUUAUAAAAAUUAUGAUCUAUGCCUUUGCUUUUGUGUAUAUAAUUUGGAAAUGUAUGUCACUCCUCUUACUCAAAUUUUAAAAUUUUUUCAAAAUUUGAAGUAUAAUAAGUAAAAAGUUUGCUACCCGUUUAAUAUUGUUAGUUGAAACAAGAAUAUUUAUGCUAAAAAGAGUUUACCCUUUUCACAAUGCAAUUGUUUCCGUUUACAUUGACAAGUAACAAAAUUAACUUGUUAAAGACAAGUUGAUAAGGCACUUUACUUGUAAUUAAAAAGUCCGUGGUUCCAGUCGUCAAGGGAUAAGUGGGGAAUCAUGUUGAUCCUUUUAAAGAAAAAAAAAAGAGAAAAAGAAAAGACAAGUUGGCCAUUAGAAGGGAUUUGAAACUCCUCUUUGAGCUGCACGCCAAGGGUUUAGACCCGUGCUCGAUAGCCAUUCCUUCAUUCGAGUCAAGAGCCCACAUCAAAUGAAAGGUAUUGAAGAGUGAAGAGCACUAAUAAUUUCCAUGAUUUUGGAUUCUAGUUUGAGUUGCAAACAAGGCAUCUUCUUUUAAAACCAAGUCAUCGUCUAGCUUCUUCUUUUAAAUAUUCCAUUCUUUUGCUUUAGUUUGUUCUCUCCUUAAUUACGAUUAAUUUUCCUGCAAUUUCUCUCUUAUGAGUACAAUAUUUCCUCCUAUUCCAUCCUUAUUUUUCUCACAAGACCUUGACAAUUCUUCUGAAUAGAUGUUUUUGUAAUGAUUUUUACCAGGCAUAUGCCAUCGACAACUAUGUAAUUUACAAGGAUUUUUACAGAUAGUUUACCAACAACACUAUAGUUAGCGGUGAACUUAAAACCUAAUGCUUCCAAUACAAGUCCCAAAUCUUUACCAAUUUAGUCACAUGAGUAUGUGGAUAUUAUUUAUGAAUAUUAUCUUUCUCACAAAUGAGUGGCUUAUAUGAUGCCAUGUGUAGGUUUUAACCUGUCAUUACAGGUUUUAUUUGGGUACAUUAUUGCAGCUGUAAGUUUUUUGCAAAUAAUAGUAAAUUUGUUUUUUGUGUAAGUCGAGUAUGUUUUGCGAUUCAUGUAAAUUACCUUUAAAUAACAAAAGUUACUAAAAUUUUAACAUAACACUUUUUCUCCAAAACUUACCAUUUUCUAUAUAAAACUUACUACUUUUUUCAAUCAAAGCUUGUGACUAUUUUCACAAACCUUACCACUUUUAUACUAAUCUCACUACAUUAUUAAUCAAUCUUACGAACUUUCAGGCAAAACUAACAUUUUAUUUUAUACAAAAUUUACUAUUUUUUGUCAAGCACAACUUAUGAUUUCAUUAAAAAAAUCUUACUAAUUUUUGGUAAGUUUCUAACUAAACCUGACCAUUUUUUUUUUUCAAACUUUACUUCAUAAUUGACAAAAUUUACUGAUUUCAUAAUUUCUGUUAUUUACAUUUUAAAUAACGAUCUAAGUUUUUAAUUAAAACUUACUAAUUUUUUACCAAAACCUACUAUUUUGCUAAAUGUUAUAAAUGGCCAUUGGUAUAACUUACCAUAAUUUAGUAUAUUGUUAACAAAACUCACUACUAUUUUUUAACAAAACUAAGUUCAAGCAACUUUACGCAAAAGUCAAUACUAUUUUAAGCAAAAACUUGUAACUUCAUUAAAAAAAUCUUACCACAUUUUCUUUAGUAAAAAUUGUUGUUUCAUUGAUAUGACGUACUGCUGAAGCAUGUCAUAUGUGGUCAUUAGCUUGCUACUUUUCUGUAACCACCUGUUAUGACCAAUCGUCAAGUGAAUCUAUUAGUUUUGUAAGUUUACCAUCAAAAUUAGUUAGUUUUACUCUUGAAUCGAUAAAGUUCAGUAAUUAUAAAAGUUACCACAAUUUAAAAAAGAAAACAUACCAAAUAAAAUGUACCAGUUCUUAAGUAAUUUAAUUCUUUUAGUCAAACUUACAGCUUCUUCAACGACUUUUAGUACUUUUUGACAAAUAAAGUUUUGAGUAAAAUUUACUAUUAUGUUUAAUCGGUGACAUUCAAAUUUCCUUAAGCAGUUUUAGUACUUUUUAAAACAUAAUCUUACCUGCCAGAAACAUAUAUACUACUAGCAAAAAUUAUUUCUAUAUUCCAAAAAAAGAUUUUUCAUCAUCAGCUUAGUUAGUGACUAACUUUUCCAUCCGUGGGUUAUAUACUCACAUUCAUUUUCUCUUUGCAUUUGAAUACUUUUUUUUAAAAAUAAAUCUGCAUUUUCACAAACUACUAACUAUUCAUCUCUACUUAACCAAUGCUUUAAGUGUUCUCAUUAAACUAGCCCUUAGGUAUAUUAUUUUUCUCUAAAUAUUAUUAUUUUUUUGCAAAGUCUUUUUCUAUUAGAAAAUAUACCAUUUUCUUAGCAAAUUUACAUCUACACAGUAAAUUUAUAACUAAUGAAAAUUUAACAAUUUUCUUUGAACGAAGAAAGUUUUGCUUGGAAUGCAGUGAUUUUUCAAUGAAAUAGAUAAGUUUUGCUUAAAAAGGGUUAACAUAAAAAAAAUUCCCCUGAAAUUUUCUUUAACGUCACUUAGCAUCUAUUCUUUAUCUUUAAGUUUUUCAGCUCCAUUUGUUUGAUAUGGGAAUUAAGUCUCAAGUGAGGCUUAAUAUAUUCAUUUUGAUAUUAUGGAAAACUGCAAGGGAAGUUACUAAUAUUAUUCCUAAAAAAAUGUUAUAUGUUUUACUGUAAUUUAACAAAACUUUUAAAUCAAGUAUCAUUUUGUGUUGUAAAAUUAAAGUUGCAUAUUUCAUAAGAAACUUAAUAAACUUUUUGUGUUCUCUUAAGUUUUGCCACAAAAUUAGUAAAAUAUUUCAAUAAACAUACUAAUUUUGCUAAAUAUGUGGUUAGAUUUCUUAAUGAAAUCAUAAGUUCACUUGAAAUAGAAGUGAGUUUUGUGUAAAAAAAAAUGGUAAGUUACGCUUGAAAAUUAGUAAGGUUCGUUAAUAAUGCAGUAAGUUUAGUACUAAAAAAUUGUAAAAUUAGUUAGAAACAUACUAAAAAUUUUGCUAAAAAUGGAGUAAAGUUUGUUAAUUAAGUCAUAAGUUUUGCUUGAAGAAAUUAGUAAGUUAUGUAUAAAAAUAGUAAGUUUUGCUUGAAAGUUAGUAAGGUUUGAUGAUGAUGUCGUAAGUUUUACCAAAAAAGUAGAAAGAUUAGUCAAAUGAAGUCAUAAGUUUUGCUUUAAAAUAGUAAGUUUUGUAACAAGGAUAUUUUUAUCACUAGUUGAAUUCUUGCCUUGGUUUGCAAAGAUGCCUUAUAUUUGGUAAUUGUGGAACUUGGAAUGGAUUCAAUAAAAGUUUCAAAAAUAAUAAUUUCAAGGUCUGCAGGGAACAUGGUUGAAUUGAUUCCUGUUUCUUGUAAAGCAUAAAAAAAAUGAAAGAACAUAUUAAGUAUGUAUCACUCUUGUGCUUUAUUGCUUCUUUAGGACAAAACGAAAGCCCUCACUUAGGGCUGUCAACGGGUCGGGUCCGGGCCGGAAUUCAUUAUUCCGGACCCGGACCCGAAUUACUAUGCCGGAUCCGGAUCCGACCCGUUUACCCGACGGGUCUUUUAUUCUAUGUUCCGGAUCCGGAUCCGGGUCUACCCGAACAAAUUUACCAAAAUUUAUAAUUUCUAAUAAAAAUGAGAAAAAAAUAUAUUUGUAAACUAAUUUCUAACUAAUGCAAAGAAAAAACCAAAUAAGAAAAGAAAUCAAAUUAACUUUAUUAAAAUACAUCACCCUAAUCAAAUUAUAUUGAUAAAUAUAUAUUUUUUAAAUUAUUAAUUCAUUUAUAUCCGGAUCCGGGUCUAAUACGGGUCGGAAUACUAUAUUCCGUAUCCGACCCGUUUUUUUGUUUGACAAAACGGAUCCGGAUCCGGAUCCGGGAAACGGAAUUAAAUCCCUACCCAUACCCACAUUAAUUUCACGGAUCCGAUCGGGAUCCGGGUCUAGACCCGACCCGUUGACAGGCCUACCCUCACUAGCUUUUAUUUCAUUAAAGGGCUAAAACAGUUUUCGCUUAUAGUACAUCAUUUUCUUGCCACCUCUAUUUGUGCAAAAGAUGGAAAAUAUCUGUUUAAAAUUCAAAAAGACUCUUAUAUUACGUAUUAUUAACAAAUAUUUUGAAAUUUAUAACAAAUUUUCAUAAUUUGUAUUCAGAUAAAGAUGUAACCUGUGAGUUAUGCAAAAAAUAACAAAGCCUUAUAUCAUACUUUUUUCAAAUAAUGAACAUAAUAUCAACAAUUUGAUAAAAUGAAUAUCUUGUAGCAAAAGAUACAACUCAGUUUUUGUAUCAUACAAGCAUAACCUAAUGUUAGAAAGAAUUAAUUUUUUUUUUUUGAAAUUCUAGUAAGGGAGAAGUGGAAAGGGAGGAAGGAGGAUUGAAAUUCAGGACUUCUAAUUCCUAGAGUCUCAACCUUAACUACUAGAUUAAGAUCUCUUUGGUUAGAAAUACAAAUUAAGCCCAAUAUUAAUGCAACCUAACAUAUAAAAGUCAUGGUAGACAGUCGUAUUUUUAAUUUUAUAACUUUCAAGCAUGUUUGUACUAUUCAUGGAUAACUUUUUAAGCGUAACAUUGUAAAACUUGUAUGCUUCAACUGAAUCUUGUACUUUACAUUUUGAAGAGUAAUUUCUGUACAUAAAACGGUUUGUAUUAUUCUCAUACCUUAUCUUAGUAAUGGUUUUUUUUUUUUCAGAAAAUCUUUUGGAAGUUUUCUUUCCGCAAUGAAUCAUGAAAAGUUGAUUGAGUUAUAAUUCAUGACAUUGUCUUGGUUCAGAAACUUGAAAUGAGAAACAAAAAAGAAAAAUUAACAGGCCGUGAAAAGAAAAUGAGAAGUGAAAUAGGGACACUAAUUUUGGUUUGUUGGGUGGUGGGCCAAGGGGUGAAGGUAGUUUUGAGUUAGGGUGCGGAUAUCAUUUAUGAAUAUUAUAUCUGUUCAUCAAAGCUCAUUAGAAACUUUCUUGUUCAUCACUUGGAAAAAAUGUUGGGGGCCUUCCCAUUUUUCGUUUUUCAAACAUCAACAGAAACAUAGGUUUGUGAUUUUCAAAACAAAGGGGAUUAUGACACUACCUAAAAUUCUUUUCUAUUUCAGAAAAGGAUGAUAGGUAGUAUCAUAAUUCCUUUAGUUCUGAAAAGCACAAUCACAAAUGUGAAUUUGAUUUUUUAUCCUCCGACACCGUAACAGUUGAGAUCUUUUUUUCUUUUUUUUUUUUUCAAGCAUAAACUUGAGAUCUUAAAGAAGCACGCAAAUGUCUUAUAAAAUCAAAAUUCCAAAAGUUUAGGAUAAUAAUACAAUGAUAAUGUUAGAAUACUCCAGAAUUCCACUAUACUAUCUUUUUCGUAUCGAUUGACCCACUAAAUUUUUAAAACUAAUUAAUUGAACCAUUCCGUCUAGAUAGUGGUUAAAAAAUAUGAAACUUUCGGAAUUAAUGGGGAACUUUCGUCACUUUGUUAAUGAAAAAUAGUAUGGCGGAUUAAAUGGGAGUUUAGUAAAAUUAAGUGAAUCUUGAUACAAUUUGUUGAAAAACUUCUUGGAAACUAAAGAAGAAUGGAAUAAAGAAAUGCCGUAGAAAAUGUUUAACACAACUACUGCUGACAUUCUCAAAUCUUUUGAGCUAGUAUCAGAGAUUCAGAGAUACUUUAGUCAGAUGACCAUAAGAUCAAACGUUCGGCUAUCAAGUCCUUCAUUUUUUCCUUUCCCAUUGUAAGGCUGAAGUCUCCCAUUCAAAGGAAAAAAAAAACUGUAACUUAAGCUUUCUUUAGUUGACAUGAUGUAUCGUUAUAAAAUAGUAACCCAAAAUUUCAGUAGCUAAAAAUAGCCAUGCAAUCACACACACAAGGCAUGUAAAAAAUCUUCAGUUCUUCGUUUAUUCCCUGUUUGGAUUGCCAUUUUCUGCCAGAAAAUUGCGUCAUUUUCCGUGAUCACAUUUUCCUAUUACCUUUUUCCCUCACAUACAUCAAAUCGCUACAAUAAUUUUUUCAUGAAAAAUGACGGAAAAUACAAUCCAAACGGGAGUUUUGCAAGAUGGCGCAGUAGCUAUUCCUUCAUGCGGUUGAAGUGCCUACAAUCAAUUGGAAGUUGCUGAAAAGUGAUAAAACCUUCCUAAUAUAAUUUCCAGGAUUUUGCAUUUUAGCUUCAGUCGAAGCCUAGGCAUCUUCUUUCAAAAUAAGUCAUCGUUUGGCUUUUUCUUUAUAAGCUUCCAUCCUUUUGCUUUAGUUUGCUCUCUUUUUUAAAGAUUGACAACAUAUGUCAUCAAAAAGGACCCUAAAACCGAAGCGAACCAGGACCUUGCCAUGUGCCACUCCGACAACCAAUGGAUGAUAUCCACAUUCUUAGGUCCACCACGUUGACUAAUUGUUCUACCAUCCAACCAGGAAAGUCACGGCCGAUUUCACUCCGCUUUCUUAUCAAUAACGGUACUGCUCCUACUUUCUCCUCUAUAUGAUACUCCAUCUUCCUAGCUAAAAGCCUUGCACAUACUGCAUUGUUUUAAUUUUGAUUCAAAUUAUCAUCUUCCUCGCCCGUGUUCUCUUUUUCAUCAAACUUGGAUUUGACAGGGUAGGUUCACGAUAAACAGGUACUUUUCCCAUAUUCAUCAGAUCAGCUAUUGCCAGAGUAAGUGCUGAGAUUUGUUUACUUUUCUUGAAGUUCCAGGCUUUUUUUUUUCCUUUUUUAUAAACAUAGCCUCACCAUAUAAGGGGAUUUCUGCAGAUUCAACGGAUCAACUGUUGCCGGAGUAUUCAUUCUCUCCAAAGUGAGAGCUGAAUUUCUUUUUCUUUUUUUUUUAAUACACAUUUUAUGGUUGAAAUAUAAAUGGCUUCCAUGUGUUUAUGACAUUCAUUCUACUAGCAUACUUUUAUAUGUUGGCGACUAGCUUCCAGGGCUUAGGGUAAAACACUCAAAAUUGUACAGUGCAAAUGUGCAAUAUGCAUCCCAUGUUCAAAGCUCUAUUACAAGACAACCCUGAAAGGUCAUACAGUUAUUUUUUCAUUCUACUUUAUUAUGCCAUUGCGUGGAAAAAUUCUAAUCUAUAGGUCCACCACAUUCAAUAAUUGUACUGCUACAAGGCUAGGAAACUCAUGACCAAUUUAACAGAUCUACUUUCUUUUCAACAACAAUACUACUCCUUUCUCCUCAAUAAUAGAUCGUCUCCAUUGCCAAAAAGCCUUGCAUAUACGAACAGUUUCUACAUUUUUUUAUUAAACUUUACUUUUGAGUAAUUAAGUAGCUUCACGAUAUACUAGCAAUUGUCCCAAAUUCAACAGAUCAGCUACUCCCAGUGGUUUCUCUCUUUCUUUUAUUUUACUCUCAAGUACUUAAUUUUGUUUUUUUCUCUCAAAUUUAAAGGAAUUUUAAGGUUGUGUUUGGAUUGCAUUUUUCGUCAUUUUUCAUGGAAAAAUUACUGUAGCGAUUUGAUAUAUGUGAGGGAAAAAGGUGAUAGGGAAAUGUGAUCACGGAAACGACAAUAUUUUCCGACGGAAACAAGCAAUCCAAGCAAGGCCAUUUUUCUAUUUCUUUUUCGAUGUAGCCUCGCCAUUAUAAAGGGAAUUUCUGCAAAUUCAACAGAUCAGCUUUUGGCAGAGUGUUUAUUCUCUCCAAAGUAAGUGCUGAAUUUCUUUUUUUUAUUAUUAUUAUGCACAUUUUUGGUUGAAAAUGUUAGAAUACCUCAAAAUUUCACUGUACUAUCUUUUUCGUAUCGAUUGAUCCACUAAAAUGAAGUAGGAACCUAGAACCAAAGUGAAGUAGGACCUUGCUAGGAAGUCAUGGUUUUGCUCUGUCGAUAAAAAAUUUUGCACCGCAUACUAGUUGAGCCAAAACUGAUGGGGACUCGAAGCCAAGUAAAAUUGCUAUUUUAUAAAAGGAUCAUAAUUGUAUAAUUACCCUUGUAAAUUUGAAAAUCAAAUACACAAUAAUGUAAAGUCAAAUUUUUACUAUGUCACCUUUUUUGUUUUAUACUUUCUCCCUUCUCUGCACGCUUUUUGUUACUGUCUUACCUUGUAACAUUUAAAAUUUGAAAAAUCUGCCUGAAUGUCUAUCACAACUAAAAGAGGAUGGUACUGGUUAGUAAAAAAAGUAAAAAUCAAAUCGCAAGUAACUUAUCAGUUAUGACUUUCAAUUCUUUAGUUGGCCUGAUUUAAAAUUGUAAAUCAUCGUGGCACAUUAACAAAAAAUUACACAAAUUACAGUAGUUAAAACACACACACACACACAAAAAGGCAUAUACUACACUUUUUCGUCCAUCAUUUAUUUACUUUUGCAAGAGACCCCACGGACAG